UUUUUUUUUUUUUUUUUUUUUUUUUUUUGUUAGUGUUUUCAAUAACAAUUAUGGUUUUGGCAAUGCCAUUUUUUGGUCCAACUUAUGCUAAUGAAUGUCUUUUGCUCUGCUGCAUCUGUUCUUACAGGCUGCUCAUUUGUAUUCGGAUAGUUGUCCUUUCAUUGUUUUUGACAUGGAGAGUCAGACAUAAAAACGAAGAUGCAAUCUGGCUAUGGGGGAUGUCAGUUGUUUGCGAGAUCUGGUUUGCAUUUUCGUGGCUUCUUGACCAACUUCCCAAGCUAUGCCCAAUCAAUCGGGCAACAGAUCUUAAUGUCUUGAAGGAGAAAUUUGAAACACCUAGCCCUGCUAAUCCCACUGGUAAAUCUGAUCUUCCGGGCAUAGAUAUCUUUGUUUCUACUGCGGAUCCAGAGAAAGAACCACCUCUUGUAACUGCAAACACCAUUUUGUCAAUUCUAGCUGCUGAUUACCCUGUUGAAAAACUUGCUUGUUAUGUUUCUGAUGAUGGAGGUGCACUUCUAACAUUUGAGGCCAUGGCAGAAGCUGCAAGUUUUGCUAAUAUUUGGGUUCCUUUCUGCCGUAAACAUGAUAUUGAGCCCAGGAACCCUGAGUCUUACUUUAAUUUGAAAAGGGAUCCUUAUAAGAACAAAGUGCGAUCGGAUUUUGUCAAGGAUCGCAGGAGAAUCAAGCGUGAAUAUGAUGAGUUCAAGGUUCGGAUCAAUGGCUUGCCUGAUUCUAUUCGCCGCCGAUCUGACGCUUAUCAUGCUCGUGAGGAAGUCAAGGCCAUGAAACUUCAAAGACAGAACAGAGAUGAUGAACCUGUGGAGAGUGUAAAGAUUCCAAAAGCUACUUGGAUGGCGGAUGGUACCCAUUGGCCAGGGACUUGGAUGCAUCCUGCGCCUGAGCAUUCUAAGGGUGACCAUGCUGGUAUAAUACAGGUAUCAAUCUUAGUACAUAGUUUUAUACCAGUUGUUCAGACCAUCUAAACAGUGAACUGACCGUGAUUUGUUCUGGUCAAUAUUUAAAGCAAUUGGUUAGGUUUCUGAUAGUUUUUUUUUAAAUUACUAUUUUUAACUGCAUUAUUUCAAUAAUUUAUUAGUUGAGUGGGAAGAGACUAGAAAGAAUUAAAAUAAUAUAAAAAAAGAAGAAAAGGUGAAAUAAUCAAUUGUGUGAUGCAGGUGAUGUUGAAACCUCCUAGUGAUGAACCACUGCAUGGAAAUGCUGAUGAUACAAAGAUCAUGGACCUUACAGAUGUUGAUAUUCGUCUUCCAUUGCUCGUUUAUGUUUCUCGUGAGAAACGCCCUGGCUAUGACCAUAACAAGAAGGCAGGGGCCAUGAAUGCGCUUGUUAGAGCUUCAGCCAUUAUGUCUAAUGGUCCCUUCAUUCUCAACCUUGAUUGUGAUCACUACAUUUACUACUCCCAGGCAAUGAGGGAAGGCAUGUGCUUCAUGAUGGAUCGAGGAGGUGACCGCAUCUGUUAUGUUCAGUUCCCUCAGAGGUUUGAGGGUAUUGAUCCUUCUGAUCGAUAUGCCAAUAACAACACCGUUUUCUUUGAUGUUAAUAUGCGUGCCCUUGAUGGUCUUAUGGGUCCAGUCUAUGUUGGAACUGGAUGCCUCUUUAGAAGGACUGCCCUAUAUGGCUUUGACCCUCCUCGAGCAAAAGAACACCACCCAGGAUGCUGCAGUUGUUGCUUUGGUCGGAAGAAGCAUUCCUCAGUUGGAAACACGCCAGAAGAGAACAGGGCAUUGAGAAUGGGUGAUUCUGAUGAUGAAGAGAUGAACCUCUCCUCAUUUCCUAAGAAAUUUGGCAAUUCGACGUUCCUCAUAGAUUCAAUCCCAGUGGCAGAGUUUCAAGGUCGCCCUCUUGCAGAUCACCCAGCUGUUAAGAAUGGACGCCCUCCUGGUGCUCUUACCAUUCCUCGUGAGCUUCUUGAUGCAUCAACUGUUGCAGAGGCAAUCAGCGUUAUUUCUUGCUGGUAUGAAGACAAGACAGAGUGGGGACAGCGAAUUGGUUGGAUUUAUGGGUCUGUUACUGAAGAUGUUGUCACAGGUUAUAGGAUGCACAAUAGGGGAUGGAAAUCAGUUUAUUGUGUGACCAAGCGUGAUGCUUUCCGAGGGACUGCUCCAAUCAAUCUCACAGAUCGGCUUCAUCAAGUCCUCAGAUGGGCUACUGGUUCUGUUGAGAUUUUCUUCUCACGCAACAAUGCCUUGCUAGCCAGCCCAAGAAUGAAAUUUUUGCAGAGGAUAGCAUAUCUUAAUGUUGGUAUCUACCCAUUUACCUCCAUUUUUCUGAUUGUCUACUGCUUCCUACCUGCACUAUCCCUUUUCUCUGGCCAAUUCAUUGUACAGACCCUUAAUGUCACUUUCCUCGUCUACCUUCUUGUCAUUACUGUGACUCUAUGCUUACUUGCUAUACUUGAGAUCAAAUGGUCUGGCAUUGAGCUAGAGGAGUGGUGGAGGAAUGAACAGUUUUGGUUAAUUGGAGGGACUAGUGCCCACCUUGCUGCGGUGCUUCAGGGGCUACUGAAAGUUGUUGCAGGAAUUGAAAUCUCUUUCACCUUGACUUCAAAAUCAGGUGGUGAUGAUGUAGAUGAUGAGUUUGCUGAUCUUUACAUUGUAAAAUGGACUUCAUUGAUGAUCCCGCCGAUCGUGAUCAUGAUGACCAACUUAAUUGCUAUAGCUGUUGGGUUUAGCCGAACAAUAUACAGUGUUUUACCGCAAUGGAGCCGUUUAAUAGGUGGAGUUUUCUUCAGUUUCUGGGUUUUGGCUCAUCUCUACCCGUUUGCCAAAGGUCUAAUGGGAAGACGAGGAAGAACACCGACCAUUGUUUUUGUAUGGUCAGGACUUAUUGCAAUCACUAUCUCUCUCCUUUGGGUGGCUAUCGAUCCUCCGUCAAAUACUACCCAAAUUGGAGGCUCGUUCCAGUUCCCUUGAGAGGCCCUUCUUUUUCUGUUGAGCUGCAUUUGUUCAGUGAAAUUCCUUCAUUAGUUCUUGGUUUUUUUUUCCCCUCAUUCAAAAAGUUUUAUCGUGUCGGAAAAUGGAUUAGGGUAUGUUCUUGUUGUUGUGCCCAUUUAUACUAAUGCUUACUUUUGUAACAGUUCUCCCAAGGAUCAUCAGGAACAAGUAGCUGAAAUUCUAGUCAUCAGUUUUCCAUUUUCACGUGGAUAACUAGGACCUUGCUUAUUAUUGUAUUCUUUGUAAUGUAGAAAGUGCACAUUGAAAGCAGUUAUUGCCAGAUUUAUUUUAUACACUUCAAAUUUACAAGUUUGCAUAUUUCUUUGUAGUUAUGGAUUCAUACUCUAAAAGAAAUGUUUAGAAAUUAGAGGGCUACAUAAAAAAAAAUAUAGUAUCGUGAAGGAAAUUUUCAAAUCACACUCUUUAUGGGAUAUUUGAAACUUAUACUAAAUAAGAGUAAAUCUACAUUCGUGUAGAUAAUCUAAAAUUAAUGGUUAUGAUCAAUUGACAAUUAAUGGAAAUCUAUGCAUCAAACUUGAAUUUAUUAAUAAUUUAGUUUUCUUUGUCCAAAAUAGUUUUUUUUUUUACUUAAUUAUAAUUGAUUAAAAAUUAAUUUUUAAAAAAAUUAAUUCUUAAAUUAUAAUCAAACUAAUUAUGAGAUCCUUAACUUAUAAUUUAUAUUAACAUUUUAAUCCAUCCGUCAAAAUUUUGAUAACAUUUUGAUCCCUCUAUUUUUAACGGAAAGAUCAAAGUGUUCAUAAAAUUACAAUUUAAGAAUCUUGUAGUUAUUUUUUAAAAAUAAAGAUUCUCAUAUUUUAAUUUAACUGUAAUUUAAGAAUUAAAUUUUUUCCCCAAAUUUUAAAUAAAGAAAUACCAUGUUUAAUUUUCUCAACCUUAUAUUUUUCAAAUGGAUUUAUUGAUUGAGUGUCGUGUUUAUAUAACAUAUUAUUAAUUAUACAAAUGAUAAAUUUCCCUCUUCCGUUCUUAGAAAUUUUUUUUUUUUAUUUUUAACUUUAUUUAAGCAAUGAAAGAUAUAUGUCUUGUUUCAUAUAAAUGCUUUGCAAAUUUCAUAUUUACUUGUUAAUGAAAAUACAAAUGUAUUUCCUCUAAAAAUAAAAAAUACAAAUAUAUAUGGAUAUAAUAUGAAAUUAUGACUAAAAAUAGAAUAUUUUUCCUUCCAAAAGAACGAAGAUUUUUUCUAUAUUUAUAUCAAGAAUAUUUAUAUUAGGUAAUACGUUGGCAAGUCUAUUUGUACAUGAUAUACCCUUCUAUUUGCAUUGGAAAAAACACAUCACUUGGAUGAUUUUUUUUCCAUAAUUAUACUAUAUAUUCAAUUUUUUCCCUAGCAUAAUUUUGAAAUUAAGAUUUUUUUCCAAAAAAAGAAAAUUUACGUCAAUCAAUUUCUAUAUAGGAUAAAAAAAAAAAUUGGAAAAAGGGACAGCUGUAAUUAUUUUAAAUAUUUUAACAUUCAAAUUAUAUAUAUAUUUUUUGAAGUACCCUUUUCAAGAAUUGGGCUGUCUGAAGUUCUCGUGUCGCAACGACUAAAAUUCAUUUGGAGCAAUUAUACCAUGUCUCUGCAAACUCCACCUGGCAUCACCUCGUGACUAAUACUACUUCAAUGUCCGUUACUUUUUAACUUUUUAUAAUAAUUAAAAUUAAAAUAAUUAUUGAACCACUUAAAUUUAAAUAAAUAAAUAAAGAUAAUUAGUUAAAUUAUUUUUUAAUUAAAAGAGAUAAAAUUUCGUAGAAAUACCUAAAUAAAAGUUAAUAAAAAUUGCUGUUGAAUGAAAAAGACUGGUAAAUGCAACAAAGAAACAAGUUCCACCUGCCAGUCACUGUUCAUAUCAUAAACUAUUAUUUUCUAAAAUAAGAUACAAGAUCUUCUAAAUAUCAUAAUUUUCGCAAUUUUUUAAUUUUUUUUAAAAUUUAUAUUUAACAUACACAUACUUUUAGCAAUUUUAAUAAUACAAAUGAAUAUGUGUGUAUUUAAUAUAUUUUUUUAAAAUUUAUAAAAUUCGAAAUAUUCUAUAUAAAAUUUAGUUGAAGAAAUUUUUAUAAAUUUUUAGCUAUUAAAUUUAAUAAAUUUCGCUUCUUUGCUUGAAAUUGGAUGUCACUUUCUUUCUCAUCCGCCUUCUAAAUUUGUUACCUGGCUCGAUCAUGAUCUAGCGGGUGUUUUCUAUUCGCGUUCUAUUUAGUUUUAUUUGAGCUUUUGCUCCCCUUAUCUUACAAAAAAGAAAUUUAAUAGAUUUCAAAAUUUAAAUAAGUCUCAUAAUAAUAUUGUCACUAUAAUUUAAUAGAAAUAUUAUUAUUAAUAAUAAAGUAUUAAAUAAAUACAUCACAUAAAUAAAGAGAAAUAAAUCACAAGAAAUAUAUUUUUUGAGUAUUAAUCAAGAGAAAUAUUUUACUUAUAAAAGUAAAUUUUAGUUAUACAAUAAUAAAUUAAAUUUCUAAAUAUCAUAAAAAUAUAUUUUCUAUCUGUAAAAUAUGUUCUCAAAAAUAUUUAUAUUAUGAAAAAUAAAUAUAAUUUAUUAAUUAUGUAUGAUCUGAUUGUUUAUCUUAUUUACGUGGAAAGUGAAAAUUUUAGAUUUUAAAUUGUUUUUUAUAUCUAUUCAACGAUUUCAACAAAUAAAAAAAAUUGUUUAAAAAUAAAUUAUUAAAUUUCCAUUCUAUUGAUAUUCCAUAAAAUAAAAUAAUAUAUUUUUGAUAUAGCAAGAUAAAGAUAAAGUUAAAAUAAAAUAACUAAUAUAAUCAUAAUUUCUUAAAAAUAAUUUCUACAUAAAAGGAAUAAGGAACUAUCAAAUAUUUAUACCCAUUUAGAGCAUCCCGAAUUCCAACACUGGAAAAUUGCCUGAACAUAUCGGUUCAAUUCCCGUUGCGAAUCUUCGGUCCUAUCUGAAAUCCCCCUGUCGUCUAAUGGUGAUUUACAAUUCAGGUAUGAGGAUAGGGGCUCCAUGACUUUCACCGAUGUGAUGUGAGGGAGAUUAUACAGCUUCAGAUCACUCUCUGUCCGGGCCUUUGGGUCUGAAGUCCUCUUUCUUCUCGGCUCUUCACUUGUUUAUCGUCCCUGCUGCGCUCUUUCGCCGCACACCGCCGUCGCCACGUGGGUAACAUAAUUAUUGCUGCCUUUGGUAUGUUAAAAAGCUGAGAUUUGUUUAUCGAAUUACAAGAUUUCAAUUACUUUGUUGAUUUUUUUUUAGCUUCCAUGGAUACCAGUGAAGACUGUAAACUGAAAAGGCAAAAACUUUGCGAGACAAUCGUUGAAGAUAGGAUUAGUAGUUUGCCAGAGGCGGUUCUUGGCCACAUUUUAUCCUUUCUUCCAACUAAAACUGUAGUGCAAACAAGUAUUUUGUCUAGAAGAUGGAGAAACAUUUGGAAUUCUGUGUGUAAUUUUGAUUUUGAGUUUCUUUAUGAUGGUAAUGAAGACUUGAGCAGGGUACAAAAAUUUGGGAGAUUUGUAGACUCAGUACUAAUUCUUCGUUCUUACCCAUGUAUUAAAAAGUUCCGCCUUCACUUUCAUUCUUCGUUACCUUGUAAUGCAAGUACAUGGAUUCGCGCUGCAGUUAGGAAUAAUGUUGAGGAGCUUGAUCUCGGUAACUUUCUAAGUACACUCGAGAUGCCUCGGAUCGUUUUCAGUUGUGAGACUAUAAGGAUCUUGAAGGUUUACCAUGGAUUUACCUUUCAGAUUCCCGAGGCUGUAUGCCUUCCAAGUCUCAGGGUUCUUCAUUUGGUAUCUCUUUUUUCCUUGAAGGAUGGUGACAUAGAGAAGUUUUUAUCAGGAUCCCCUGUUCUCGAAGAACUAUUUAUUAAUUCGCAUCAUAAUGAUCUUGUAACAACAUUGUCUGUUCAGUCCUCAUCACUUAAAAGUUUGAAAAUUCGGAGGAGAGAUCAGUGUCGUUUUGGAUUUUUUAGGCUUAUAAUUGAUGCACCAAAACUAGAAUUUCUUGAGCUGAUUGAUUAUGUCUCUGAAGAAUUUGAGAUAGUGAAGUUGUUACCUUCACUAGUUAAAGCAUCUGUGGAUGUUAGGCCAGAAGAUUUCAUUUAUGACAGCGUACAAGCAGCUCAGGUGUUUGGACUUCUGAAACAAAUCUCUAAUGUGAAAUCUUUAAGCUUAUUUGGAGUUACGGUUGAGGUAAUUGCUUCUCUGUUUACUUUUAUUUUUAUUUCAUUUGUAUUGGGAUUAUGCUCACUGUCUUACACUUUGCCUUCUCAGGGAAUUGAUUUUGCAGAUACAGGUUUCACUUACCCCAUUUUUCAUAAUUUGAUGCAUUUGGAGGUGAAUGCCAAUGAAAAUGGAUGGCUCGGGUUCCUUGAAAUACUCAGAAACUCACCAAAUUUGGAGACAGUCGUACUCCAUAAGGUCAGUUCAAAUGGCUCAAUUCAAAUAUAAAAUCUAUAAAUUUGAAUAUUUCUUACUUCAUAUGUGAUGAUAGAGGAGUAAAUAUGGAGCUUUGUUUGACUUGAUACUGUCAUUAGAGUUAUAGAUAAAUAAAUUUUAAUAUAAUUCCGUAAAAUUCUAUUUGAAAUCUAGUAGAAGUGCUUGUUUGUUCUCUCUUUAUGUUUGUUCUUGUGACUCAAAAGGAGGGGAACACCUAUAAAAACCUUAGAUUAAAUGGAACAGAGAUCUAGGGAAUGAGACUCCAUGCACAUCUUCACUAACACAAGAAUACCCUCGGGAGGCUUAUGAACGUUAUGUAACCCCAUACUGAACUUGAGAGCUGGAAUGAUGGUGCCUUUUUGAAACACAAGAUAGGAGUGAGUUUUUACAGGUUGUGCUGAAAUUAUGGAACUGUAAAUGGAACUAAGUUGUAUCUAUAUGGUAUUGAACUUUCACUGGUGUUAGUUAAUAAAGCUUUGAUUAUCUUUUGUCAACAGCAUGAGAUUAUGCUAGAAAUUUGUUUCUUGCAGUGAUAUCUUUUACUAAUUUAAGCUUUGAUUAACAUUCUACUGGAAGAACUUCAAUCAUCUUUUGUGAACAGGACAAUGAUCGUUCCGAUUAUCCUGAUGAAAGCUUUCGGGCACCAGCUGUGCCCCGAUGUUUCUUCUCAUCUCUCAAGAGAGUUGAACUUAGAGGAUUUGAAGGAAAUAGAGUGGAGAUGAAAGUAAUAAGAUAUUUCCUGAAAAAUGCUAAGGUCUUGAAGAAACUUGCAAUUGAAUAUUUGGAUGACAUGGAUCCUAAGAAAGAGACGAAGCUGUUGAAGAAGCUGUUAAAGUUUCCAAGGGCCUCAUCCACAUGUCAAAUCAUAUUUUAUUGAACUCCUUACCUGAAACUUUCUGUUUUGUUGAUUGCAUGCCAUGAACUUGCUUAUGAGGGGCAUUUUCUGAUAUUGUUAAUAAGAGAGGUCUACAGGUUCCCUCUUUAUGAGUUCGCAAGCUCUCUGUACUGAAGUUCUUGGGAUUAUAUAUAAAGAUUUAUACAAUGUGUCAAAAAAUAUGAAUUUAGUUCAUCUUUCUAUAUCUGAGACCAACUGGUGACUGUUACAUUAUUAGGGUCAUAAAUCAAAUCCUGAGACGCAAUUGAGACUUGUGACAAUUUAUUUAGACUUUGAGCAAAAUUUAAUGAAUUGGCAGGUAUUUUCAUUGAACAACUAAGCAUAUAAUUCUCCCCUUUUGAAAGACAUUUGUUGUGUUUAUAUCUAUUAUGUGUAGCUGAUCCUUGAAGACCGCUUCAUGAGGCGAUAUAUAUUGCAAUCAUGGACCAAAUUUUGCACCCUAAAGCUCAAAAGAAGACCCAUUAUUGUGAACACGAGUCCUUUAAAGGGGAGAAUUGUCAUUUUGGUAUAAUCAGGAAGUGUGAUUCUUAAAGGUGAGAAUUGUCAUUUUGAUAUAAUCAGAAAGUGUGAUUCCCUAGGAUUGUGAUUCUUAAAGGGAAGAAUUGUCAUUUUGGUAUAAUCAAGAAGUGUGAUUCCUCCCUCGGAUUGAAGGAUAGGAAGGGAGAAUUGUCAUUUUGAUUUGGGAGUUAGUCUAGUAUACAUACAUGAAUUUACUUCUAUUUAGUACUAAAAAUGUGAUAUUAUCUGACCUACGACCCUUAGUCUAGAUAACUAAGUUGAGGUCCUCAUGACCAAAAGAUCAUGGGUGUUGUUCCCUUCCAGCAUUCUAAUAUUAUAACCUCGACCUGCCAAAUUUGCACAUAUUAGUGUAGAAAGAAAAUAUACACGUUAUCAUAAAAGCAUGCCUAGUAAUUAAACUAAAAGGAUAAACGAUUCAAAGAGAAAUUUAGAAUCAAAAUUUCACUAAUUAGGAGAAUCAAUAAAGAAAAUAUAAAAAGAAAGAAAAGGUUUAUAGCUAGAAAAUGGUAGAGAAAAAGUAGAUGACAAAGAAAACUUGUCUUGACUCUUUAGUAAUAACUUUCAAAACUGAAAAAUUCCUCACGUAGUAAACCUAACCCGUCACUUAAAAGCCAAAAAAGAAAAAACAAAAACCCUGAAAAAACAUGCAUGUAGAAAGCGUGAAAAUUUAGUUGUUAAAGCAGCAUAUAUGCAUGUCCAAGCUAACCUACCUCUCAUAUUAGAAGCUCACAACACAAAUAUUUUCAUUUUCAUUUCUCAAGAAAAGAAAAUACCAAUGGCAACUUACCUGAAAUUAUUACUACUCUUAUCUUCUCUUCUCUCGGCAAUAGCUACAGAUAUUACCUCCAGAAGCCAUGAACUCGAUGUUGCAAUUGAAGAAAUGACAACGGCUAAUUAUUUCACCUUUGUAACCCUAAUUAACAUGGCUCCUUUUGAUAAUAGAAUUCAAGAAAAUAUCACUUUCUUGAUGCCUAAUGAUAAAAUCUUGUCAAAAACAGGAAUCUCCCAAGAUUCUGUUUCUGAUUUUCUUCUUCGCCAUUCGAUUCCUUCUCCUUUAAUUUUCGAGCAUCUUCAGCAUAUUCCAUCUGGUUCUAGAAUUCCAAGUUCAAAGCCUGAUUACAUGCUUGAUAUUAACAACAAUGGCGGCCGGAGAAGUUUUUUUCUUAAUAAUGUCAAAAUUAUUAGCCCUAAUAUUUGCACUGCAGGUUUUUCGAUUCGUUGCCAUGGAAUAGAUGCUGUGUUGGUUGAUAUAAACAAUAAUACAUUAUCCAGUUGUUCUAACGCCAGUGCUCCUCCGGUGGUUGUGGGGGCUCCACCACCAGUAUCAGCAUUAUUACCGCCGUUACCACCGGCAGCUGUAGCUCCUUCUGCGAUUGCCUCUGAUCAGAUUCCUGUGGUGGCUGAUAAUGGUCCAAAAAAGUCAGGGUCUUCUAUGUCAUUUAAAAUAUCUUUGAAAUUUACUUUUAUUUUUGUUGUUAUUUCAAUAAUUUGGUUUAAUAUAUAGUUUAAUUUGUAUUUGGAAUUAAAUUAACCUAUUUUAGUCAAUGUUUUAUUGGAUUUAAAUUUGUUUUUUAACACUAUACGUAUAAAUUUUCUGAAAAGAAAAAUUGAUCUCGAUGCAUAUAAGUUUCUUUUUAAAAGUUUUUACAAGUGCAAACUGUAAGAAAAUGUUAAUUUUACUAAUUCUUUUUAUUUAAUUUAUUAUAAUCUCUUUCUGAAAAUUGUUUUUUCAAAUGAAUAAUAAAUAACAAUUACAAUAAGAAUGUUACAGCUUCACUCUUUGUAUUAAAAAUGCAUUAAAUAAUAAUAUAACUUUACUGAUUUAUAUUUUUUUUUUCAAAAAUAUAAUUUAUUAAUAAUAAUAUGAAAUAUUAAAAAUACUCAAUUAAAUCAAACAUAAAAAACCGCAACAACAAAUUGGUGGCACAACGGUUAACAGCUAGACAUAUGCCAUCUUUAUACCCAUUAAUUAUGCACUGCAUAUGAAAUUCAGCAUCUCUUAAAGCAUAAACGAUAAACUUUUUCAUCUACUUUAAUAUUUUCUAUACAUAAAUAAAUAAACAUUAUAACUGAAUUUUCCUUCAAUAAUUAUUGAAAUUCAAAAAUAAUAAAUUCGUUUGGAUUGAUGGUAGGGCACAGUCAUACUCCAAUACUAAAAGGGUAAAAACUUUUUAAAAUUAAGACUCCAGCAACAUAUUUUGAGGGAGAGUUUAGAGUUUUGACUGUGUCAAAACACUAUUUUUAUAAAUCAUAUCAUUGGUUGGGUAAAGUAGUAUAUAAAAUAGGUGUUAGUAGAUAAGAUAAAGUUUAUUAAAAUUUUAAUCCAUCUAAGUUUAUAUUUUCUUAUUAAAAUUUUUUUGACAAUUAUGGCCUUAAUUAAUUUAUAGUAACAUUAGUUUAAAGUUUUUUUUUGCUAUGAUACUGCAAGUCUGCAAUUAAGUUAAAAAAUUACAUUAUUUUACUCAAAAAUUUAAACAAAAUAAUUUCAUAAUGAAUUAAUAAAGGAAUAUGUGAGGAAAUUGUAUUAUCAUUUUAGAAAUGAUAAUGAUGUCAAUUUAUAUAAUUGGACCACACACUAUAAAUUGACAUUUUUUUUUUAAUAAUGAGUUCACUACUAUAGUUAUAAAUAAAAUUCUAACUCAAUAUUUAAAUGUCUCUUUUUGUCACGUUAAAUUCAAUAGCUAAUCAAAUAAUUAUUUUUACCGAAUACUUUUACUCUAAAUAGUUAUAUAAACAGCUAAUAGCUUGUAAAACCGCUAACAGGUACUAAAACAGCUGAUAUUGUCGAACAGGUACUAAGAGGACAAAAUUAAAAGAAAAUUUUUUUUUGCAAUGUUUUAUAGGGGAAUUUCAAAAAAUUAUAGAGUUUGGGAGAUCCGCCUUGUCCAGUCCCUCUCCCUCUGCCUUGGGUCGAUAGAAUUUGAGUAAUAAAAUUUUAAAAUUUUAUGAAUUUGUUAGAUUUGUUUAUUUGAACUCAAUACUCAAUACUUGAUCUUCAUAAAUCACAUCCUUGAACUCAAUACUCGAUCUUCAUUAUUAAGAUUCUGCUGGGAUUAAUGCUCUAAUCCCGAGUGGGGCCCGUGAAGAAUGCUGGUGGUAGAAGUAAAAUAAAAUUACCGAUGAUAAAAGUUAAUAUUGCCGAUAAAGAUUUAAAUUACUAUUACCACAUUCACCUCCAAUAAUUUCAUAUUGGAUAUUAACGACCGAAUCCACCAGAAAUAAUAAUCACGAUAAAAAUUAAAUAAUUACCGUAAAUGCCAGAUAAAAAUAGGGAUAAAGAGAUUUACGUGGUUCACCCUUCAACUAUUAUGGGCUACAUCUAUAGAACAAAAACUUCGAAUAAUUCUUCUACUAAAAAUAGUAGGUACAAAAAAGAUUGCAAAAAUAGUGGCACUCUAAGUGUUUCUCAAAAACACUCCAAAAAUUAUAAUCCUAUCUAUUUUCUCUCUUUUCCAAUUUUAGGAACUCUUUUCUAAAAUUCUCUACACUUAAUUGUGUAUUCUUAUUCUUUUGUUUUUGUGUGUUUAGGUUGAAAAAAAACUUCUCCUAUUUAUAGGAGAAGUGGAUGCGUUAAUCAAUGCAUCUGCACAAUUAACGCAUACAUCUUCGUUUUGUAGCUCCAGCCUUAUUUGACCUUUUAAACAAAACGUGUUUUUCUCCUUUUUUUUUUUUUUUUCUUUUUCAAACUUGUGUGGGUCCCACACAACAGAUUCGAGUUGUAUAAUUAUGAUUAAAUCCUACAAUUGGAGAAAUAAUGUAAACCAAGUAGAUAUAUUUCUUUUUUUUUUUUUUUUUUUGUAUUAUAUAAUAUAAUUACUAGGUGUAUUUCUUAGUUUAAGAGCAUGAAGAACUCAUUUUCUAUUUAGGCUGUCUCAGCUUAUUGUAAUUAAGCAGGGCAUGCAUUUACCAUGUGGGAAUUAAAAAUUAAAAUGACAAAUGCCAAAAAAAAUGAACCCACCCUUAGGGCAUAAGCGAUCCCACCCAAUCUAUGUAUUAGAUAGCCUUUGAUAUAUCUCUAUACUUUAAUACCGCAUAAAGGCUUCACAUCCAAACAUGCUUCUUUGUUACAAUUUACAUUCAAUUACUUUAUUAAGAAUUGUUGAUUAUUUCAAGCACAAUGCAAAUGAAAAUUGAAAAUUAUUAUUAAAAAAAUGAUAAUUUAAAGCGUCAAACAAUUCAUUUAUAAAUAUAGAAAUAGGAAUAGAAAAAUUCAUAAUUGCAAUUUGGAAUAAUUGUUUGGAUUGAGAGAAAAAUAUGAAGUUUCAUGGAAUAUCUUUUCUUUUGUAGUUUUGGUUAUUUCUAUUGUAACAACAAUUAUGUAAAUUUACUUUUUGUUUUAUUGAAAAUAAAUUAGUGUUUUAAGCAGCUUAUUAAGAAUAAAUUAGUAAUUUUAGUUUAUUAACACUUAAAAAAUAAAAUGUAUAUAUCAUAGAAUAUUAAAGUGUCAUGUAGAAUGAUAAGUAAGCCAAAUGGAAUAGAAUGUUCUUAAUAAUUAAACCUUAUUAAAGAGAGAGAAAUAAAAUGAAAAAAAGCCACUUGGCAAUUGUUUAAUAAAUAUAAAUAAUGUCAAAUGGCAUAGAUGGCAAAUCUUCUGCUUUUAAAUAUGGUAAUAUUAUACAGAUAGAUUGAGAUUACAUACCAUAUUAAGCGCUAAACCAAUUAAAAAAUUUAUGAGAUUGGCAAAAUUUCUUAUCAUCUCUCUUAUUGCCAUUGCUUUUCUCAUCUCUUCUAUUAGCUCUGCAGGUCUUUCGAUCUAUUUAACUUAUCUAAUCCCGUUGGUUGGAUUUUAGGCUCUACUUCGGUUUGAGUUGAGUUUGAUUUUUAAAGUUCAAUAAGAGUUUAUUUAAUUCGGUUUGAUCCAGUUCAAAAAUAAACCAACUCAUAAACUUUGAACUCUAUUUAGAUUUAUAAUGAAUGUACAUAUAUUUUGCUACUGUUAGUCACAUUUCAUUAAUUAUUACUUUUGAUUUAUACUGUUUUUACAAAUAUCGUAUAUCAGUGCUAGCCAUUUUUUAAAAGAUGAUUCAUUGAAACAAAAUUAAAAAUAAAUUUAAUUAAUUAAUUAGAGAUCAACGAGUUAAAAGAACUCUUUACGAAUUUGCUUUAUUUAAUUAUUCUAAUUUUAACUUUCAUUUACAUUUUGUUUUAUUAGUGUACUUUAAUUAAUAGCCAAACGAGCUUUAUUUAAUUAAUCGCAUUUGUGUUGAAUCAAUUGGAAUAGUUCUUUCUAUGAUGAGGUUAACAAUACUAGAAAUGAUAGUGUCCAAAAUCUUACUUUUAUGAAUAAGAUUCCUGCUGAGGAAUAGAUGUCUGUGAAAGAUUUGUUACAGCUUGAUUGAGACAAUAAUACAAAGUAUAUUUAUUAAUUUUAAUAUAUUCAAUAUAUACCUUAUAUAUAUAUAUAUAUAUACAGUAUAAUAUUACCAAUCAAAAUUAAAUUAUUUUUAUUUUUCAACUGAUAAAUUUUAAAUCCUUAAAGAAAUUAUAUUUUUACUACAUUUAAUAUAUACUUUAUUUAAUAUCCAUCAAAUAGUUACUAUAUUAUAUUAUAUUACCAUAUAAUAUGUAUAUAUUACCAUAUUUAAAAUACAAUUAUAUGGUAUUGUAUUUUAAAUACAAUACCAUAUUUAAAAUAUAUAUACAUAUUAUAUUAAAUUAUAUUAUAUUAUAUCAUAUUAUAUUGUAUACAUAGUUACUAUAUUAUAUUAUAUUACCAUAUAAUAUGUAUAUAUUACCAUAUUUAAAAUAUACCAUAUAAGAAGGAAGCUUCUCAUAGAUAUUCAUAGAUAGUGAAUUGAGAGAGCAGGUUGUAAAGGUAGAAAAAGAAAAUCUCAAUCAAGUUUAUAAAUGAUUGUAAUGAUAUUGUAUUUUUACUAUAUUUAAUAUAUACUUUAUUUAGAAUUCAACAAAUAGUAUUUUCAUAUUAUAAUAUAUUGCCAUAUUGAAGAUAUACAUUAUAUACCAUAUGUAAUAUUCUAUUUAUAUUAUAUUGUUUAGAUUUUAAAGCCAUUUUAUAAGAAUAAAAAUGGAACCGAAUAGUAUCACUAUAGUCUGUGUAUACCUUGUAUAAUAUAUAAUAUAAUUUAUUAUUUAUCCAAUAGAAUUUAGAUUUAAAUAGAAAAUUAAUAUGACCAAUUAAAAUUAGAUUAUCUUUAUUUUUUCAACCAAUCAAAUUAAAAUCUUUAAUAAUAUUUUUGUCACUCCAUAAUUUUAGUAGAGACUUUUUUAAUAAUUCCAAAGUCCUUCCACCAUCUCACAUUUAUAGGAGUUUUGUUUUACAUGUUUUCGGUUUCAAAACCGUCAAUUCUAGUUAUAAAUCAAUCAAAUUAAAGAUUUAUUAAAAAUAAUAACUAAACAUAUUAUUCUUAUCAUAUUUAAUAUGUAUCUUAUAUAGUAUAAUGUAACCAAUCAAAAUUAAAAUCUUUAAAAUUGGUCCGUUGGAAUAUGCUUGUUGGUUGUCAUAUACAGUCAUUAUCUGUGAGUGUAGGUUGUCAGAUAUAGUCAUUAGCUGUGAGGGUUAUCGGAUACAGACAAUAUCUGUGAGAAUUUUCCUUCUCAUAUACAUCCAAAGUAACGUCUAUAGUGGACUGACAGAGUGAACUGUAAAAGUAAAAAAAACAUCUCAAAAAACAUCUCAAUCAAGUUAAUAAAGGACUGUGUUGAUAUUAUAUUCUUACCACAUGUUAAUAUAUACUUCAUUAUCAAAUAGUAUUACCAUAUUAUAAUUGAUGAUUUUAAAAUCUUUGGUGGUAUUUUUAUCGAUUCAUAAAUUUAGUAUACGUGUUUUUGAUAAUUCUAGUGGUCCCCACACAUUCUCACUUUUGUAGGAAUAUUAUAUUAUAUUGUAUCGAUUUCAAAACCAUUGGGUAUAGUUAUAAACCAAUCAAGUUAAAGAUUUAUUAAAAAUAAUAACUAAACAUAUUAUGUUUUUAUCAUAUUUAAUAUGUACGCCUUAUAUAAGAGUAUCACAUAACCAAUUAAAAUUAAAUUACCUUUAUUUUUUUUAAUCAGUAAAAUUAAAAUCCUUAAAAUUGAUCCGUUGAAAAAAGAUUGUUGGUUGUCGAUUAUAGUCAAUAUCUGUGAAAUGCUUUCUUCUCAUACAUAUUCAAAGCAACGUCUGAUAGUGGACUGACAGAGCGAGCUGUAAAGGUAAAAAGAAAACAACACAAUCAAGUUAAUAAAUGAUUGCGCUGAUAUUAUAUUCUUACUAUAUUAAUAUAUAUUUUAUUUAAUAUCAAUUAAAUAGUAUUACCAUAUUAUAAUAUUAUAUUAUAUUAUAUUAUAUAGUUUCAGUUUCAAAACUACCUAUUUGAAAAUCUUUAAUGAUAUUUUUUUCAAUUCAUAAACUUAGUGGAUGCAUUUUUUAUAAUUUUACUGUUCCCUCAUACAUUCUCACUUUCAUAGGAGUAUUAUACUCUAUUGUUUCGGUUUAAAAACCGUGAGUUCCUAUUAUAAACCAAUCAAAUUAAAGAUUUAUGAAAAAUAAUAAUUAAACAUAUUAUAUUUUUAUCAUAUUUAAUAUGUACCUUAUACAGGAAUAUAACAUAAUCGAUCAAAAUUAUAUUACCUUUAUUUUUCUAACUAAUAAAAUUAAAAUUCUUAAAACUGGUCCAUUAAAAAAGACUUGUUGGUUGUUGGUUACGGUCAAUAUCUGUGAGAAGAUUCCUUCUCAUAUAUAUCUAAAGUAACGUCUGAUAGUAGACUGACAGAGCGAGCUGUAAAGGUGAAAAACUAUCUCAAUCAAGUUAAUAAAGGAUUGGGCUGAUAUUAUAUUCCUACUAUAUUAGUAUAUACCUUAUUUAGUAUAAAUCAAAUAGUAUUACUAUAUUAUAUUAUAUUACACCAUAUAAUAUAAUAUAAUAUAAUAUAUAUAAUACACAUUAUCAUAUGAUACAUAUAUAUUACCAUAUUUAAGAUAUACAUUAUAUACCUUAUUUAAUAUUAUAUGGUUUUGGUUUCAAAACUAGUGGUUCUAAUUAUAAGAAAAAAAAGAUGGAACCAAAUAGUAUUACUAUAUUUUAUACAUACCUUAUAUAGUAUAUAAUAUAAUUUUUUAUUUUAUCUAAUAAAAUUUAGCUUUAAAUAGAAAAUAGAUAUGACCAAUCAAAAUUAGGUUACCUUCAUUUUUUCAAUCAAUCAAAUUAAAAUCUUUAAUGAUACUUUUAUUUUAAUUUAUAAACUUAGUAGAGACGUUUUUAAUAUUCUUCCGCCCAUUCUCACUUUUAUAGGUGUAUUAGGUUAUAUGGUUUCGAUUUCAAAACUGUCAAUUCGAUUUAAACCAAUUAAAUUAAAGAUUUAUUAAAAAUAAUAAUUAAAUAUAUUAUAUUCUUACUAUAUUUAAUAUGUAUUUUAUGCAGGAGUAAUUUUAUUUUUAUUAAAAUUUAGUUAUCAAAUUAUAGUUGAAUAAGAAAAUUUAUGUUGUAUUAUAAUGUGAUUUACAUUAUACAACAUUUUGUGUAGGUGCAAGGUAUAUAUAAAAGAAACAAGAAAUCAUAAUUAGAUAUUGUAAGAUCAGAAUCAGAUACACUAGGAUUAUAAUCAGAUAUUUUAUUUUAUUUUAACAAUUAUAAUAAUAUUUUAUUAUUAUAAAAGUGUUAUUCCCUAUACAAGGUUAUUAAUUAUUGAUUUUUUUGUUUUAUUAUUUCGUAAAAUAUAUAUUUUUUAUUUUAUAAAUACUUAUUAAUGUCCAAUAUAAAUUGUUGAUAAUAUUAUAAUAAAAUAAUAAAAAAAAAUAUAUGUAUAAACUAAAUUACAUUUACCCUUAUAGCCAACGUGGAGGAGACGUUGGAGAAAUCUAGUAAUAAAAAAAUGCUUCACCAAGCAUGAGAUAACAGAUUCAGCUUUUCCUUGACAGGAACCAAAAUUGGGAAAUUAUUUAGUUAGCUAAAAAAAAUUAGAAAAUGAAAAAUCAAAUUUAAUUAAUAUCAACCAUUGCAUUGAACAGUCGCUUUAAAGGGUAAGCAGGGAGAGUUAGGUAGAGGGAAAAUAUUUGAUGAGAGAGAGCAAAGCCAAAAAUGAGAAGAAGAAUAACAAUAAGACCAACAAAAAAAAAAGGGUUGGGUUCGAUUUGGUUUUGAUUUGGUUUGGUUUGGUUUGGUUUCUUGAAAAUGAGACAGGGGCAUGCUUUCUUCUCCAUACUUCCCUUUCUAAAUCCACCUACUUCUAUUCUCACCCAGUCUUUAAACCUGUCCUCUUCUCCUUCCAUUCUCUUUAUUACAGUAUCUCUUUUUUCUCUAUCAUAUGCAGACAUAAUUACUUUAAAUAAUAAUAUUGACGAAAAAUUAAAGUCCUUUCUUGACUUAUUUAUGAUUCUAUAUAAUAAACUAACUUCACACACAUAACAGGCUUUUCAAGAAACAAGAAAAGAAAUAAAGAAAUUAAAAUUCAACUUCAAGAAAACCAAAAGCCAUGAUAUCCUUAGCCUCUGUUGAACCUCCUGAACAAAAACCCUCUCCUCCUCAAAACCAAGAUCGUUCUUCUUCUUCCUCGGAAACCCAUAUUUUCAGAUCAAAAUUACCAGACAUACCCAUUUCUAAUAAUCUUCCUCUCCAUACUUAUUGUUUCGAAAAUCUUUUUAAUGUUUCUGAUAAGCCAUGUCUUAUAUCAGGUUCUACAGGCAAAACCUACACUUUUGCAGAAACUCAUAUCAUAGCUCAGAAAAUAGCUGCUGGUUUAUCGCAUUUGGGUAUCAAGAAAGGCGAUGUUAUUAUGGUUCUUCUCCAAAACUGCCCAGAAUUCGUCUUUUCUUUCAUUGGUGCUUCCAUGAUCGGAGCAGUAACCACUACUGCUAAUCCUUUUUACACCAAAAAUGAAAUUUUCAAGCAAGUGAUUGCUUCGCGUGCUAAGUUAAUCAUUACCCAAUCCUUGAAUGUUGAAAAACUAAAAGAUUUGGAAGAAAAUUUUAUUCUGAUCACCAUUGAUGACCCACCAGAAAACUGUUUACAUUUCUCAGUACUUUCAGAAUCAAACGAAAGUGAAAUUCCUGAAGUUGAAAUAGAUCCUGACGACCCCGUGGCUUUACCAUUUUCUUCAGGAACGACAGGAUUGCCUAAAGGAGUGGUAUUAACACAUAAAAACUUAAUUACAAGCGUAGCGCAACAAGUGGAUGGAGAGAAUCCAAACCUUUGGUUAAAAGAAGAAGACGUUGUUUUAUGUGUAUUGCCUCUGUUUCACAUAUAUGCAUUAAACAGUGUUUUGCUAAACUCGCUUAGAGCUGGAGCCGCUGUGUUGUUAAUGCAAAAGUUUGAGAUAGGAACGUUGUUCGAACUAAUUCAGAGACAUAAGGUGUCUGUAGCCGCGGUGGUGCCGCCGUUGGUGUUGGCGUUGGCGAAAAAUCCGAUGGUGGCUGGAUUUGACCUUAGUUCGAUCAGGGUGGUGCUUUCAGGGGCGGCGCCGCUUGGGAAAGAGCUGGAGGAUGCUCUCCGGAGUAGAGUGCCUCAGGCGAUCUUAGGACAGGUUAGUAACAGCGUCACUCAAUAUAAUUUAUUUUUUUUAAUUUUUUUUUUUUAAUGGGUAAUCCCUCCCCCCCUUUUUUUUUUGUGUCAUUUUUCUUUUUUUUUUUUUUUUUUUCUUUUAACUCUUUCGAUCUGAACUUGUGUCGUUUUCACUUUUUUGGGUUUAUUUUUCUCGGUGAGAUUUUUAAAAAAGAAAAGGAGGAUUUAUAUUUUUUUUUUCUUAAUUUGCAUUUUUCAAUGAUAAACUUCAAGUUAAUUUAUCAAGUUGAACUCUCGUGAUGAUAACUAAAUAAGAGUUUAAUUUAGAUUUCUUUGCACCAGUACCUAGAGAUGGGAGCGGAAUGAAUAUUUUAGAUCACUCAUAUAAAAAUCCGUUUAAUAAAAAUAUGAAUAAUUAUAAAUGAGUUCAGAAUGAAUAGUGAAUUAUCAGUAGUAAAUACAAAUAGGAUACAGGCAUAAAUCUAGUUAUCCACUACUCAUUAUCCGUGAUAUUAAACAAAUUAUUAGUUGUGAGCAUAACCCAGUUUCUGAGGCAAGCUAACAGGGUCGGUUCAAACCGGAACUGUAUCAUAAAGGGGAUUGAAAUCAACUUAAAAAUGGCUCAGAUUUGAAUUAGUUUCAAUUUCAAUAUUUGAAAGUACAAUCACUUGGUUUUGAAUCAAAAUCAAAAUUGAACCAACUAGUUUGAAACUGAUAUCAGUUUUAUUUCUAAAAUUUUUGAACAAUUAAUUUAUGAAUGGGUCGAUCAUGCUUUUUUUUUUUUUAAAGAUAAAGAAUAAUUUCAUUUCAUAUCAUAGAAAGAAACUAAAUAGCUUGAAAUUAUAUUCCAAACUUGAAGACAAUCAUAUUUAUAGGAAGCUCGUAUUAAUGAAUGAGUUCGAAUUAAAUUGCCUUCUGAUUCAUCUAAUGGGUCUUUUAGGAUUAAAACUCAAUUCAACUCUUUUCUUUUUUAUUUUUAGCCCAAUUACCAUUUUUAAAUCAUCAGAUUCAACUCUCAAAUCAAAAAAUUAAAAGCUUUAUUCUAGAUAAUAUUUAGGCGAAAUUUUUAUAAUAUCAAAAAAUAACUAUACCAAACUCUUAAUAUUUUCAAAUAUAUAAAACUCUAAUUAAAUAUUUUCUUUAUGUUUCCGCUUUCUAACAAAGCUAAAAAUAUUUUUUUACCUUUUUUCUUUAAUUUUUCUGUUGUCAACCUAAAUCUACAUCUUCUAAUUCUAUCUCUCUAUCAUUUUUUAAAAUUAAUUAUUCUCUAUUUUUUCCAAGUUACACGUUAAAUAUAUCAAGUUAAUUUUUUUUUUGAAAUAGUUAUAUUUCAAUUAGUCAUUAUGUAGAUUACAAUAACGAACAAUUAUAUAAAUGCAAACUUUACUAUAUAAGAUUUGGGAAAAAAAAAUAUAAGAAAAAUUGUUCAAUUAUUAUUGUUAUCACCACUUAAAAUUUACAAUUUAGAAUAGUGGACGAAAUAAAAUUUAUUAUAUUGAAAUUUGAGAAUUAAAUUUACCUAUCUCGACUUAAUUUUCUGGCUUCACCUCUGCCAUAUAUUUAAUUAGCUAUUACUUCUGGACCCUAAUGUCUAGUCACACAUAAUUCAUGGGAUAGUCCCACCCAAUUCACAUGAAUGACAUCAAAGCGGAAGUCUUUACUUUUUUUUUUUUUUUCUUUUUUUUGAAAAACGUUCAUCUCUGGCUUACUGAUUUUAGAUACUAAAACAUUUAUCUUAAAGCUAUAAUAAAGAUUUAGUAAUUUAGGAAAAAAUUUAAAAUAAAGAGACAAGAAAGCUAGUACAGAAAAGGAAAUUACGUGCCAAAAGGUAAAGAAAUGGUGAGUUGGUUUGAUGAGAACCAUGAAUUAACAAUAUUUUUAAAUAUUUUUUGCCAAUUUUGCGGCUAAUAAUGGCCACAUGAUUUCUGCAGCCGCACAUCACAUGGGAUCUUAAUUCUUAAAUCAGAUUCAGGAGUAUAUAAAUGUUUUGCCGGUUCUUUACUUUUCACCUUUGUGUUGUAAAUACUUCCUAUCUAUUGAUAGCUAUAUGUAACUAUCCAAAUUUUAGUUUUUUUUUAUUAAUUUUUAACCACAAAAUAUAAAUUUUUUAAUAAUUGUUUUUAUUUUAUUUUUUUUAUAGUGAAUAGUUAGAAAUAUUUUUGUUUUUUUAAAAAACAUUUUAUUAAUGUGUUCAACCAUAGAUGGAACAGGUAAGUCAUUCUCAACGGAAAAUAUGAUAUUAAUUACUUGUCUUAAAAAUGUAGGGCUAUGGGAUGACAGAGGCAGGGCCAGUUCUAUCAAUGGGCUUGGGGUUUGCAAAGCAGCCAAUCCCAGCUAAGUCAGGCUCAUGUGGAACUGUGGUUAGAAAUGCAGAGCUCAAAGUUAUUGACCCUGAAACUGGUUCAUCUCUUGGCUACAACCAGCGUGGUGAAAUUUGCAUACGUGGACAACAAAUUAUGAAAGGUUCAUACAGAUAUAUACGUAUAUUUUGUUAUUUUUAAAAUUUUUUUAUUAAUUUAAGCUUUAAUAUACUUUUAACUCUAGUUCUUAAUCAUAAUUAUUAUUUGUUAAUUGAUAAAUUAAAAUAAUUUAUUAGGAUAUUUGGAUGAUCCUGAGGCCACAGCCAACACAAUUGAUGUUGAAGGUUGGCUUCAUACUGGUGACAUUGGUUAUGUGGAUGAUGAUGAUGAGAUUUUCAUUGUUGAUCGAGUCAAAGAAAUCAUCAAAUUCAAAGGCUUUCAGGCAUCUUCCCUACUAAUUUCUAUCUUUAUUUAUUUAUUUUUCUUGUCAAGAAAGAAAAAUUUUUACCUAAAAAUUAAUUUUUUUUUAAUAUUUUGUUCUGAACUUUUGUGUUCAGGUUCCACCAGCAGAGCUCGAGGCCCUCCUUGUCAUCCAUCCAUCAAUCUCAGAUGCAGCUGUCGUUCCGUGAGUUUCAGCUUUAGUAGCAAAGAUUGCUUCUUUUUUUCUUUUUUUUUUUUGAAAAGGAGCAAAGCUUGCUAAUACCAUAAUUAAAACAUAAUUAUAUUCAAACUAAGGCCUUUAUUAUUAUUAUUAUUAUUAUUGUGUAUUAUCGUGGAUGUGUUUGUUAAUUAUUAGGCAAAAAGAUGAAGGUGCUGGUGAAGUUCCUGUUGCAUUUGUGGUUCGAUCUAAUUCUAAUGGGCUCGAGCUCACUGAAGAAGCUGUAAAAGAAUACAUAUCAAAGCAGGUAACUGGAAAACAGAAUAUAAAUUCAUGUUUAGAAGAGAUUUUUGCAUUUGCUUUCCAUUAUGAUUGGAUUACUUUUGAUAAACUCUAUUUGCAAUAUUUAAAGUUUAGCAAAUAUAUAGAAGUAGAUCUGUAAAGUAAUUGUAUUUGUGCUUCAAACAGGUUGUGUUCUACAAGAGACUGCACAAAGUGUACUUUGUGCAUGCAAUUCCCAAGUCUCCCUCUGGAAAAAUAUUGAGAAAGGGCCUAAAAGCAAAGCUAGCCGCAGCCUCUCCAUUGUCUUAGAAUCCUUUCUGUUAUUUCAACUUCUCUUAGGCAUUAUAUUUAAUGUCUCCAUGGAAUAUGGAAGAGAAAUCAUCUUCUUCUAAAUUAUGUUUUUUUUUUUUUUUUUUUUUUCUUGCAUGAAUCUAAUGAAUUUUUCUUUCAUGUGAAUCAAAAGCUCAAACUUUCUUUUUAAUUAUAUAUAUAUAUAUAUAGAUGCAAUUGGGUUAAAGAAAAAUGCAAGGAAAUCUGAUAAAAGUGUAGACUUCCAUAUAUAUAUCCAAGCCCUAUUUUAGUUUAGGAGAGAUUUUAAGAAGCUAUAGAAAUUCACUUGUGAUUUGGAUUAAUAGCAAUAAACCAUAUAGAAUUUCAUUGGAAUUUAUGAAUUAUUUUGCUCAAAACUCUAAUUUAGUUCUUAAUUUUAAAAUUAUGAAUUAGUUGUCAUACUCUAGUUCUUGAGAUCUGAAAUUUAGAAUACGCAUUAAUUUUUAAUAUUUUAAAAUUUAUUGCACCUUUCAAUGAUUAAAAUUCAAGAUAUUUUAAUCCCUCAAGAUUUUGUAUUUUUUUUUAAGACUAUAAUUGUUAAGAUUUUUUUUUUUUUUUUUUGGUAAUUAAUCCUACUACGAUCAAUUUCAUGGUCUCACUUUGUAAAUGAAUUUUAUAAAUUCAUUAAUACGAAUAAUUAAAUCCAUAAUUAACAGGGUGAUGUCAUAGUAGCAAUUUGAGGCUGUCAAAUGAUUUAUAGUUGUUACUUUAAUAUCUCAAAUUAAUUUUUAUUAUCCUUCUGGAGAGAAUUCCAAGAUUAGUUAAAUAAUCCCUUUGCAUAACACUUCCCAUUUGUAAAUCAUGCGCAAAAGCAGGAGGAUGCAAUUGUCAUCUGCUCCAGUAAGGUAGUAGUAUGCUAGAGGAUUCCCUUGCUAUGCUAGAGUAUUCUUCUUUACACCCGGUUGUGGAUUGUAAACGAGCUAAGUCUGUUGGCAAAUGAAAAGUUUCAAAAAAAUUGACUUUAAUCAAGUUCGAGCUUAAUGAUAGCUCAAAAACUAUCGAUACUUAUUGAGCUCUAUCAGCCUUUAUAUAUAUAUAUAUAUAUAUACAGAUUACAACGAAUAUUAAUUAAUGGAGUCGAACAAAAUUAUAUUGAACGAAAAGUGACUUUCUUUUAUAUAUAUAUAUAUAUAUAUAUAUAUAUAUUUAUUUAAACUUAUUUGAGCAUCCAGCAUUAAGUCCUUGAGCCAAGCUUGAAUUUAAAAUUUUUCGAAUUGAACUAGAGCCUCAAGUAGAGCUUGAGCCUAAAAUUUUCAGACUCGUCGAGUUUUGAGCUGAGCUUCAAGCUUGGCUGGUUCAAACUCUACUCGGCUCAUUUACAUCCUAUUUACAACCCACACUAGCACUUCAGGAUAAUCCUAAGGAAAUUUCCCAAGGAUAGAGAAAGACCUUCAUAGGAAAACCUCUAUUGAAUGCCGUUUCUAGAGAGCCUUCACCAUGACGACUGAGUCGAGAUUCAUGACAAGGUGAAUAGGAACACCCUAACCAUCAAACAAUCAAAAUUACCACUGACUACAUCUUUCUUCAGUAAAACAAGGAAACAACAUAGCUUAAGGCAAAGACCAGAAGGUAAGAACAUUGAAUACUAAUAAAGCAGGAUAUUGAUCAUGUCAAACACUUUAUUCUGUUGAUACUGAACACAUUAUAAUAUCUUCAGUACAAGGAUUUAUCAAUUGAAAGCGCAAAACGAUUGAAACAAGAAAAUGUAAAUGCGCAUCGACUGCCUGAUAACAAGCAUCAUGUGCGAAUGAUUAACAGUACAAGUAAGAUACCGAAAUUCCUAGUGAUGAUGAUCUUGGACGUAGCGUAGACCACAAUACUUACAAACGGCUGGCUCCUUUAAGUCAAGGCAUAUGAACUCAAUUGGAUGCCCAAGUGCAGGGUUAGUGUCUGCAACAAGAAACAAUAAACAACAAUGACAAUGUUAAUCCUGAUUAUCCUUUUUAUGUCUUUUGGAGAAAAUACCUUGAACAAAUGAACAACUAACCUCCCUCGCAUGCAACAAUCCUGCCUUCAACCUUGAUGGGGGGAAUUUCAUUGAUCAACUCCAUUGGAGAUUUCUUGGUAGUAUCCUAAGUAAAAAAGUAAUUUUGGUUAUUUGAGUCACUUCUUUAGAUCAGACAUCCCCAACCAACAAUUUAAAUGAAAUUGACCCAAACAUCAAUUUGCAAGUAAAUCUAGUUAACGGGCAGAAUGACAAUAGUAUAACAACAGCAGAUGCGGUAACUGCCGCACAAAGUCACUGGUGUAGCAAUCAAAGGCCAUAACGCCAUAAGCAUAAACCACAAAAUCAUAAAACAAGAGUAAACUCACUUACUAACCAGUAACUUACUUUAAAAAUAAAGGGAAAAAGAAAGAAAUGAGAUGGAAGUCUGAAUGAUAUGGAGGAUUUUCUGUAAAUAAUUAAAAUGUCAAUAAAAGAACCUGAAAAGGUGCAAGAAUACAGGAAGAAAUUAAUUUAGAAGAACUCAAUCACAAUCUAAAAUGAAAGCUUCCUUCUGGAAUAGUCAAGGGCAUCUAUUUCUUGGUAUAAAUUUCACUAGGAAUAAAUAGAAGCCCAUUACAGCAUCGCUUCUUGAAAGCAUUCUUUUCAUCUUAAAUUCUUGUAACCUAUGCUCACCUAAUCUCAAGCUACUUGAACAUCAUUAGGGAUGUAAACAAGUCAAAUUACCCGUGAGCCAUUUAGGCUAAAGCUAGCAAAAUGUUCAAAUUUGACUCAACUUGAGCAUCUCAGAAGCCCAAUCAUUAUUAAUUGCUUUUACAUAUAAUAUUUAAAUAAUAAUUCAUUACAAAGAUUACAGUAAUCUGAGCUCACUCAAAUUCAAGCUUAAAUUUGAACCUAGCCAAAAGCUUGAUUUGUUUUAAUGUUUGUCUAGUCAACUCGUAUGAAGUUCAAGUCUAAAGCUAUUCCAUAGAGUUUCUGAGUAUAUAAAAUAAACUUUCAUCAUGAACGCGUCAAGUACUAAUCCUUGAGUUGUAAAACCCAGUCAAAUUGGAAUUGUAUGCUAUAUACCUUUACAACAUCUCCAGAAAUUAUUAAUAGACCAACCAGGUAACAACCCAUUAACUUCAUCAAUAUGGAAAAACUAUAUCAACGAUGAGAUAUUUGUCAUGCUUUAUUGUCUUAGAAAACAUUAAACUGCCCUAAAAAGGAAAAUAUAAUCACAUGCAAGGAAAUAUGUUCUUCAAGGAGAGAGAGUACAAUGGCACAUAUAAUGAAACAGGAAUCAAGCAGGCAGAAAUCAGAAUAGAUUACAAUCAGGCCACAUACUGCAGCAACAAUUAAAAGAUUGGAAUAGCAAAUUGAAGCAAUGAAUAAAACUGCCCCACAAAAUGCACAAAAAAAAAAAAAAAAGCAAGUCAUUGACAGGAAUAUUAUCUGCUAACGUAAAAAUUUCAAAAAUAAGAAUGUAUGUCAUCAAUUUGAGAUCAUGGCUCCAUGACAUAAGCUGAAUGCUAAGCUAUGACACACAGGGUACUCACUCAGCUGAAAUAGGCUUAAUAAUUGAAUACACAACACUAGCAUUGACUUAUCUCUAACACCCAUAGGAACAGUUAUAUUAGAACUUAUUCUCCACUAACUAAAGGGAGAGCAGCUUUAUAAGGGCGCUAAGCAUUUUCAUCAAGAAGAAAGGACAAUUAUAUUUGAAAUUCACAAACAAAGACAAGUGUAAAAAUGUCUGAGAAUAUGGCCUUUUGCAAGUCGCUAAGCGAACACCCUGAAUAAGUGAUUUUCUUGCUUGAUAAUAUCUUGUGUAUGUAUAUUUUUUUUUUCCUCUAGGAAAAAUGGCAAUAUGUGAACCUAAAGGCUAAACUCCAAACCAACCAUACAGGCUACAAGUGUCAAGCUAAAAGCCACAAACAACAGAAAUUUCACAGCCAUUAAAUUGGAAAAGAAGAAAAUAUUGUUUCACUCCAGCAUAAAGCAGUUUAUUAAAAUUCAACUGCUAAGAGUUUAAACCUCUGUCCAAGAAAUGAGAAAUAAAUAAAAUUCUCCCACCCAUGGCUGUCAAAAAAAUCUACAAGACACAUUUUUUCCCAACAAGCUAAAAUGCUUUGCCGUGACAUUAAAAAUUUCAUAUAGAAUUUCCAUAUAUGUAAUCAGUUUGACCUAUAUGCAAGUUAAAGACAAAAUAUUUCGUUGUUGAAUGGAUGGGAUUUCUAUAUAUAAAAAAAAAAAAAAAAAAAAAAAAAAAAAAAAAAAAAAAAAAAAAUUUUUUCAGUCAGCAAGACCCCUAACCGAUUCGUUUUACUUGAGCUUUACACGAAAAAUUUUCUUUACUGCGCCACAAUAGCCUUAGCAACGAAAUGAAAUGAUUACCAACUAAAAAACUUUCAUGAUCGAUUCAAAUAUCUGAGGACAACUCAAAUUAGAUCAACUACACCACAAUCUCCCAGCUCUCGCCCGUGAAACCAAAAUUUCAACAGUUUUAAAAUACCUAACAACAUUACUCGAUUCUACCAUUUCCAAAUUUCCAAGUGGCAAAGUUCUUUUCUUAUCAAAAAGAAUCAAUUAAGCAGGCAGAAAAAAGGUACCUGCAUCCAUUUGGCUGUGUGGUUGCUGAUUUGACUGGUAACAAGGCUGAAAUUUCUGGUGCUCUGUCUCAAAUUGGACGAUCUCGUUAGGGUUCUCAACAAACUCGACGCCAUUGUUGAUACCUGCAAUUUUAGAGAGGUUUUUAAUUUAGAACAGAAAUGGUCACCUUAUAGAUUUGCAUGGACCAAGCGGAUUGAGGCCCAUUAAUGCAAAGGCCCAUUAAAAGAAUAGGAUUCUUUACAAUCCCAUAGAAAAUGAUUUAUUUUUCUUAAUUAUAAAUUUAGUGUUUAAAUUUUAGAAAAAUUUAUAUUUCAAUAUUUCAAUGGAAAAUAUUUACAAUCAAGUGUCAGAAUCGAUAAAUUUUUUUCAAUUAAAUGUUUCAAUUAAAUGUCUCCAUCUAUGUGGCUUGCUAAAAAUAUAAAUAGAACGUAUGAGACCAUUAAUUAUUAAAAAUAACACUGUGUAGGAUUUCAAAUAGCUUGACACGUCAAAUCUGACGUUUCAAGCAGUGUAUCAAACCAGUAUUGCUUAAUUAAAACGAAUCGAAUUAAAAAUCAUCUACAAUCCUCUACGUGCUUCUUCCUUCAAGCGAUCUCUGAUCGCUCUUCAUUCUACAUGAACCCCAGCCCGCUCCCGAUUGCUAGCGCCACCAUCACCAGCUAAGCAAUAAGGGACUACCACCUCCGGUCAUUUUUUGUGACCCAAAAAUGAAAAUAAAGUACACCACAAGGAUUCUCCUCAAAUAGAGACAUAGUCAUAUACGAAAAUCAUGAUCUAACAACUGAUUUGUGUACCAAUUAAUCCAAUUAAAAAAAAUUCUUCUAGAAUUCUUUGAGAAUUUUUAUUGAAUACAAAGUGAACCAGCAACAAAUAACUUUAUUAAAAGUCACUAACUUGAAGAAACCCCCUAUACAAAUGUAACAAAUAGAAUAACCACCGUAGUAAACACCAAAUGAACUAAGUCAACAAAUGAAUCAUAUUAAAAUUGGAAAAAAAAUAAUAAGAAGAACAGAGUACAAGUAGUUCUCUUUAAUGUGAUUAUAAGACUGCAGUGAUAUUACCGAUCCGAAGAUAAUAUAAAUUGAAAGAAGAAGAGAUUACUAAGAGAGAAAAGAGCGAGUGGAUCUAAGAAAUGAGUGAUUUUAUUUUUGUCGUUUGGCCCUCUUUUCGACAUCGAAGGGGAGUGGAAUGGCGUGGGACAUUCUGCCGGAGUUUAUAAAACCUCUCCAGUCAUCAUCGUCAUUACCAGAAGCCGAAUCUUGACCAUUAACAAAAGUGAUAUUGGAAUGAAUGGUCGAAUUCGAUGGCGCGACCCAAAACUGUUUGCAAAGAUUGGUAUAAGAGGAAGGGUAAGGCCGUUUUUGACUCACCUAGUGCACUAAAACUCGCCGGCGGAGGCAUUGGUGGCAGGAGUUAAGAACUGCCCUCCUCUAGCUUGUCCUUUCACGCAAUAGAGGGUCAAAGGAAGAAUCACUUUGGGUCACGAAAAGUGACCGGAGGUGGUGGUCCUUAUUGCUUGGCCCGUGAUGGUGGCACUAGUAAUCGGGAGCGGGCUGAGGUUCAUGGAGAAUAAAGAGCAAUCAGAGAUCGCUUGAAGGAAGAAGAACGUAGAGGAUUUUAGAUGAUUUUUAAUUCGAUUAGUAUUAAUUAAGCAAUACUGGUUUGAUACCCUGCUUGACACAUCAAGCUAUUUGGCGUCCUACGGAAUGUUAUUUUUAAUAAUGGCGUCCUACAUAAUGUUAUUUUUAAUAAUUAGUGAAUUCCUCGUGUCCUAUUCAUAUUUCCGACAGAAAAAACAUUAUCUAUUCCAACAUUUAAUUACAACAUUAUCUAUUCCAAUACUUGAUUACAAACAUUUUUUAUGGAGACACUGAAAUAGAAAAUUUUAGAAAGCUAAACACUAAAUUUAUAAUUAACCCUCUUUUUUUUAGAAGGAAAAUGAUUUUAUUAUUUCAAAAUAAUAAAAGAUCUCUUCUAUUGCAAACAGUACGAAUAUAAAUAAUGAUUUUUUAAUCUUUUUUUUGUGAAGAAAAAAAUUAAAUUCAUCAAAAAAUAAAAAUAUUUUGAAGAAAUAUUAAAUUCAAUCAGCCCAAAUUCAAAUUUUCUGUUUGAUUGAAUAAAUUUUAAAUAAUUAAGGAAUCAUUUUACAUGUUAACAAGCCGCAUGAAAUUAUUGACUUGUCGUUCGACGAUAGCUGAUAUGCUGCAAUGGAUAGUUAUCUGAGUUCACGUAUUCCCCCAAUGAGAAGCCCUUCUUGAUAUUCCAUUUAUGGAUUUUUUAGAAUGUUCGAAGUUUACACGAACUGUCGUUCGACUACCGUGAUAUGCCUCACUUAUCGUCUACUGUUUAAGUUGCAUUUUCCCACGAGUUAAACGACACCUCUUUACCGAUAUUUUCUCCAUGUAAGGGCACUUUUAGAAGUGCUGACUUGCUAAAAGUGACUUGCAGUUUCAAGGAUAUCUCAACAUCUCAUAUCCUAGAUCGCUGUGCCGUAUUGCUGUUUACUCCACACUGUUCAAUUUUCGCAUGGACGUAAACUAGUUUACUCGGCCAUCACCGAAAAGCAUUUCAUACCCAUCUUUGCAGCAGGAUUCAUCUUCAAACACUGGAGAAGCUCUUUACUGCGUGUUGCCUCUUGCAUGCGAUCACCUAGCAUUUCUUCAUAUGUUAGAUACUCAUAUUUUAGAUCCAAUUUCGAGGUUAUCUAGGAAUGGGAUCUUCAAAUUGUUCAUGGAUCGCAAAAGAACUUCAGCCAUGGGUUUCUUUCCAGCAGAUUUGUACAAAUGUAUGGCAGCACUCAUAAUAAAUCGGUCAGGCUCCGCAUGCUCCCUUAUCCGCUCAAAAAAGUUUAUGCCUUUCUCAACAUGUCCAUAGUCCAUGUAACCUCUCAGCAUAGUUCGGUGACAUCCAAGAUCAGGACUUAAACCAGUUGUCAAUAGUUUCUGGUAAACCCUUUCUGCUUCUGCCAGAAGACCAGCUUUUGCGUAAGCAGAAAGUAAGUGGUUAAAAUGACUACAUGAAGGCGAAAUGCCUUUCUUCUUCAUAACAUUGAUGGUUUCCUCUGCUUCCAAGUAUUUCAAACUCUCUGUAUAAGCUUGUACAAGGGAGAGGUAUGUGAAGGAGUCCGGAGGCCAGCCAUCUUUCUGCAUGGCUAGGAAAAGUUCCUCUACUUCACGAUAAAGUCCUGCUACGGCGUACACAUUGAUCAUAAUAUUGUAGCUAACCUGCAUUUUCCAUGUGAAGAUCGGGUGGUAAGAGCUUUUGUUAUUUGAAAAAAAAAAAAUUCUCAUGGUGAAAGAUGAAAAGCUAGAAUGAUUGAUUAUUCUCGCAUUUUGGGGUAGAAAUUCACCCCUCAAAAUGAGUUGUUGAGAUGACUGAACUAGUCACUAAAAUCAACAGUAUAAGUCAAAAGAUGUAAUUCUUGUAAAACUACUCAGUCCAAUGACAAAGUAUAAAGUUUUGUAUCUGAGAGAGAGAGAGAGAGAGAGAGAUGGAGAUAAAAAUUUCAUUUCGUGUGCGACCAUAUACUAUGCAACCUAUAAAGUAUAAAGUUUUGUAGUACAUUUAUGAACAUACCUUUCCUGGUUUUAUCCCUUCUUCCUGCAUUUUGGUGAACAGAACAGAUGCUUCAUGCCUCUUACCUUCAAAGUAGACAAAAAUUGCCAGGUUAUGUUAAUACCUUGAGCAAUGAAGAAAGGAAUGCCUUACAAACCUCAGUACUAAAGUAAAACAAAAUAUACCAAUUUUAAAAGGAAGCGAAUCUGCCACCUCAUAAAAACAUUUAAUGCUAUAUUGGGAACAUAUAUAGUAUAUGCCAAGUUUAUGAUUUAUCUUUCACACUAAAAGCGUACACAAAUCUCCUAUAGGAAGUGAAAUUCGUUGAUGCUUUUUUGUGCUAAACAUGAACUAAGCCAAAAUAGCAAGAAAUUGUGUACUUUAAGUGCAAUGAUAUUUGUUUUAAAAAUUCAAAGCAAUGAUGAAAAGAAAAGAUAUCAUUAUUUGAGGUAUGCAAAAAAAAAAAAAAAAAAGAUAUUAUAGGACCUUAAGAAAUUCUAAUACAUAUUCAAAAGAUCUCGCAAUGGAGGAAGAGGUGAGUUAGUACCAGCCUUGCCAUAAUAGCUAAUUAUAUUCAUGUAUGUCUUCUCAUCCAGGGACAGACCCAAGCUGCAAGCAGUGUUAAACAUCUCGACAGCCUUAUCCAGCUUCUGACCUCGUCCAUAGACACUGCAUUAAUAAUUAAUUUUAUAAAAGCUGAAGCCCCAAAUAACAAAAAUAAGAUAUACAAAUGUGAUUAGUUGUUUCUUUUCAUAAAGUUGCUGUCACCUAAUCAUAGUGUUGUAUGUCUGAAUUGAUGGACUGACUCCAAAGGAAAGCAGGCGUUCAUAGAUGCUGGCUGCAAAAUGCAAUCUACCUGCAACAUCACUUCUACAGAUCAAUGCAUACUUUAUUCUGUACUUAUCUUCAAAAUUAAUGAGAUCAUCUGUAUCAACCUGCUUUUAGCAUUGCCUUAAUAAAAAUGUUGUAUGCCACAGUAUCAAGCUCCAUAUUAUCCUGAAUACUCUUACGGAUAAUCCUCUCUGCUUCUUGAUGUUUGCCUGGAAAUGGAAUAAUCUUGUCACCAAUCAAAAUUGCCCUAAAGUUAGUAGCAUUGCCAACUACACACAAGCAUGCCCAUCAUGACUGCCUUUUUAUAAAAUCACCAACUAGGCUGAGAUGGAAAAUUUUAACUUCGGAAACUAAAUUGUUGUCAGCAACAGAAGUGUCAUGAGGACAAAUCAUUUGAAAGCUUGAAAGAGUAACUAUAUUGGAUCUGAAAAUAUAGAAGCUAACAAAAAAUGUCGUUGGAUCUGAAUAACUACCAAAGAAUAUACGACAAUAAAUCUACUAGUUUAACUAGAGUUAGUCCUACCAGAAUUAGUCAAUGAAUUCACAAGUAUGCCAACGCCAACAGCACCUAAGUCGUGCCCUUUAUCAGUUACUUCUUUAUAAAGCAAGUAUGCAUCCUCAGAUUUACCACAUUUAGCAUAUGCGUCAAUCAUUGAAUUAAAUAUUGAUUUUCCACAAGUUGGGGAAUCUGCAGCUGCUGCAAAGACCUCUUGAGCCUGCUUUAGCUUUUGCCUUUUACCACAUAAAUUAAUCAAUGAAGAAAUUACUUCAUCCUCUAAUCUCCAGCCCAGCUUGGUUACUUGAGCAUUAACAGCCCCUGCCUUACAUGUAUCACCUAAGCAGAAGACGAUAUGUUAGUCCUAAAAGACAUCAAAGAGUUAUAAAAACAAAUAAAACUCUUAUGCAGAGAUGCAGAAAUAAAUAACACUGUCAAUCAUAAAAUGUGAAAAUGAACAUUUCAUACCUUCCCUGAUGAAGUUGUUAACUACUUGACUCACUAUAGACAAACCACCGCCAGUCCCAAGUAACAACUUCAGGAUUUCUUGUAUCUUAUUGAAGUCGCCGUGUCUAAAAUACAAAGUAAUGAUAAGCCCAAGAGCCGUAGUGUUGGCUUGAUCAAAGACCGAGAAGUAUUCACAAUCCUUGUUUUCUCCAUGCAUUAUCUUACAGAAUGUCUGGAAAAAUCUACUCUCUCUGAAUGAUACAUUUGUGCCCAUCUCUUUUGUCAGCAGUUCAGCUUCUCUUAGCAUGCCCUCCUCGCAAAGUACUUUAAUAACUGUCCUAUAAAGCUCCUCAUCAAAAUCUACUUGAUCUUUUCUUAUUUGGAUGAUAAAGUCCUUAGCUUUUUCAGUCAUCUGCAAGCUCAGAUACAAAUUGAGCAUGUCAUUGCAAGAGCCAGCAUCAGGAAGUCCAGUCUUUGAUAAAGCAUGAAAAGUACUUUCAGCAGAGUCCAGAUCUUCUUUCAUAACAUAGCAUUGCAACAGAACAAUAUAAGCAAAUCUUGAUAACCAAAUAUUUCUAGACUUCAUCACUUCAAUCACACUCAAAGCUUUCUCAAAAUUUCCUGAAUUAAGAUGCACUUGUGCCAUGGCUAAAUAUGUUUUCUCAUCACUUAACAAACCCAGUUGCUCAGUCUCUUCAAACGUUCUUUGGGCAUCCUCAUACAGGCCAAGUUUCCCAUAUAUUCUAAUGAGCAACCCAUAGAUGACUUCAUCAGCCGCAAUUUUCUUGCUCUGCAUUUCUGUAAAGAGAGAAAGGGCUUUAGAAUAAUCCGCUUUUUUAUAAUACAUGGUCAGCAGUGAUGCACAUGUGAAAUUACUAGGAACUAUUCCAUGAGAUUGCAUUUCCUCAUAUAAUCUCCCUGCUUCAUCCCAGUUAAAAUUUCUAAUACUAAUAGUAAUAAGCAAGCUAUAUGUCACUUCCUCAGGAACAUGCCCACCGUUCUUCAUUUCAUUAAACAACUUAAAAGCCUCAUCAUGAAAACCUUUCUUGACAAGUGAACUGAUAAUCACAGUAUAAGUAAAACUAUUUGGUGUCACCCUUUUAUCCACCAUUUUCCUCCAUAAUUCUAUGACCCUGCCAUGAAGAGAUUUCUUCUGCAGAGAGGACAGCAUAAAGUUGUAAACUGAAACUGAGAGUAUAAUUCCCCUUUCUUGUAUAGCAGAAUAAAAUGAAGACAUAGCUUUAUGUCGACCCCAUCUUGCAUAUGAACACAACAUAGUACCACAAGCAACUUCAUCAGGUUCACAUCCCACUUCAAGCAUCUCCAAGAAUGUCUGUUCAGCCAACUUGAUUUUACCAACUUGCCCAUACAUUCGUAAAACAAUUGUGUAGACUAUGACACUUGGCCGAUAGCAUAACUGUUAGAGCACAGUUCUGUCAUGUUCACAAAACUAAUUUCUAAGAAAAAGAGAAUCAAGUUUUAGUCAAGCAAAAAAUAAAUAAAAAAAAUCAAUUGCUUUGCAGCACACUAAGGGUUAAAAGAAGUCUAAAAUAAACACUCAUUAGAAGCUAACAACCAAAUUCCAUAUGAAGUUCACCAAUAUAAAUUUAUACACUUAUCUGAAGACAAGUAAAUUAAUUCAUUUUAACAAAAUAUAAAGUCGGUACUAAAAAGGGCGUGUAGCUAUCCACUGUAAACCCACCAGAAACCAAAUACAAACAUCUCAAAGUAUGAAUUUUCCAGCCAAGUCCCUGAAUUAUAACUACCACAUACAAAACAAUAAAGCUAUUAAGAUUGAGCAAUAUGCAUAUAUAUAAGUAUCCACAGGAGGGGGAAAAAAAGAUAUAAUACACAAUAAUUAAAGGAAUUCAAAAUUAGAGAAUAUACUUGCAAUUUCAUCCAGGCAAAGAAGUCUCUAGCCUCCCUCCAUCCUUUCUGCUCCUUCAGAACAACACACAUCUCUUGAAAAGUUAACUUCCCUACAAACCCACUCAUUAGUAACCUCACAUUUCUCUCCUCUUCUCUCUUCCUAGCCAUCCCCCUCACUGUCUUUAUGGCUGCAACCACAUGCUUUCCAUAAAGAUGCCCAUUCUUAUUAUCCUCCAAGUACUUCACCAUCUGUUCGGGCGUUCUCUUUAUCCAUUUGGGCGUCUGGGCGUGUGGACCCUGGUGUUUCCGCAGCAAGCUUAAGUAUUGCGCUUUAGCUUUGAUUAUGCGCCUUGCGUUGUCGUCUGAUAAGGGUUUCUUUGGGUUUUUUGAUCUGGGUUUGGGUUUAGAAAUGUUACCGUCGCUUAAAGACCAGGGGUCUGAAUGAAUUGAAGACUUGAUGGAGGUUUUGUAGUUUGCUUUAACUGGUCUGUGAGAUUUUGGUUUUGGUUUGAGAGGUGGAGGAAGGAAGGAGGACUUGAGGAUGAUGGAGUCCAUUUCUUUUCUUUCUCGCCGUUUCGUGGGAAAUUUGGGAGUUUCGCGCAAGUUUUUGAAUUGAAAGAAGGAGCUGGAUGUAGCGAUUUUGCAGUGACAGGAUUUGCAGAAUACAAGAUAAACUUUUGUUUUCAGUUUUAAUUAUUUGGAUAUUUUUUGUUCAUAGGAAGUGGACAUGGGCUUGACACUCAAGUCUACCCUUGACCUUUCGUCCUGUUUUUAUUUAUUAUAAGUAGUUUUUGCCGAUUAGUUUUUAUCACAAUAUAAUUCAUUUUCAGGAUUUUAAAAAAUAAUAAAUAAUAUUUUUUAAUAUUAUUUUUAUAUAAUAACUCCUCAAUUAUUGUUAUUGAGAUAAAAGACAAUUUGAUCAAAUUAUGAUUAAAUUAUCCUUGAAUUUGUUAUAAUUUAAAAGUAUUAAUUGCUUCUUUAAUUAUUGUACAAGUAUUUUGAAAUAAAUAUCUCAAAACAUAGGGAGUAAGUUAUAUUCAUUCUACCCCAUAUAUAUAGAUUCACUUUUCUUUUUCAUUUAUCCAAAAAUGUAAACCUAUUUCCUUUUUCUUUUUUUAAAAUAUCAUUUAUUAUCUAAUUUCUUAACAUAUCCCUAGUCAAUGUACAUUUUACAUUUACAAUUGAUAUGCAUCAUUUAUAUUAUAAAGAAAUAUCUUGAGAAAAAAAAAAACCAAACAAAAGAUAUAAUUCAAUUAUAUUAAUUAGUUUUUCUUAAUCUAUGUGAAAAGCUAAUUAGUUUUUAUUAGUCUAUAUGAAAAUCAAAAGAGGGCUAUAUAUAUAGAAUAGAGGAAAUUUGAAGUUCUGAUUAAAUGCUUUUAUCAUUGUAAUUGUCGAUGGUCAUUCAUUAUUUUUAUCAUGAUGAAUAAAAAAAAUUAAUAUCAUAAAUUUUUAUCAUCAUACGUUAAGUUAUAUAAUAAGGUAGAAAUAAAUUAAAAUUUAGUUGAAAGAGAGUUAGGAUGGAAGUGAUUUAACUUUUCAAAAUCAUCAAUCAUAACUAUUACUUGUACAAAAUUUAUCACUACCUAACUUUAACGGAGGGCUCGUCAGAAAGUUAUGGGCUGAAAGCAAGGGAACAAAACAAUACAGACUAUUGCAUUCUUCAAUUUAUAGUCAUGCUCAUACUCUGUGCUUCUUUGGGAUAGAAGAAAAAGCUGCACUAUUAUGCACCCAAAAAAAAAAAAAAAAAAAAAAAAAAAAAAAAAAAAUUGGAAUCAACUUGCCUAUCCAUCUGCUAACAUCCUUCAUUCAUAGGCCUCGAAAUGCUAAUAAAAGAGAAGUACAAAGAAACUGUGCAUGCAGUAUAUGAAUAUUUGUUAAAGAAAUACAUAGAAACUGUGUACAUGAAUAUUUCUUGUACAGAGCAUAAGGGCAAGCAGCUAACUAAGAUAACAAAUAUAACCAUCUUUUGCUACCUCUUAACACAGAUGCAUCACACAUUGGGCUUACUACCUCCUAAACAUACCCGAAUUUUGAAGUGUUCGGCUAUACUCAGCAAUGAUGGCAGAGCUUUUAACUAGUUCCCAUAUCUUCGCAGAAUUUUUCAGCCAGUCCCGUUCUGAGACCGUCUUUGCAAAGGAAGGGCAGUCCAUAGAUAAAACCUGAAGGGAAAAAGAGUAUAAAACUGAGAAUUUCAAUCUUCUGUCAUAUGCCAUGACCAGAAGCAUGAUAAUCAAAUAGCUAAAACAUUAUAUACACUUUAUUGUAAUAAAAGAGAGAGAUAGAGACAGACCUCAUCUCGCAGUUUCCAUAGUGCAGAGAUGAAACUCUCGUGUUGAGGUCUUGGCAAGUCAUCUCUGUUGUUAGAUGGGAUUAAAAAUAAAUUCAGAGGUGAAAAAUGAACAUCAUUACACCGAGUAGUAGAAGCCACGGAAGACGAGAGAUCUUCUUUUCCCUUGUUUUUGCCUUUCUCUCUCACAAAUGAAGAUGAGCUGAAGUACAGUGCGAGUGCCUUCUUCAGUUGCAUUGAGGUAAUUGGAGUAAAAUCUUGAUCAUGCAAUCUACAAUCAGAAAGAGAUUAAUAAAUGAGCUUAACUGCAUAUAGUAGGAAUGAGAAACACGGCCGCAUCUUUAAUUAGUUCUGAAGUACAAAUUUUAAGCAAUCAGCCAAUAACUUACUGCACCUACAAUUCUAUAAAACAAAUGUCACAAAAUACAGUAAGUUACCAACAAGCAGUUACAUAUGACUAACACCAGUAAUAAAAGAUUAUGCCAACAUAUUAAAUUGAUCAUUCAUUUGCCUCACAAACUUAUUUAGAAUACAAGUGCCAUUUUAUAAGUAUAAAAAUCAUCACAUGGAUCUUGUAAAUAUUAAAUCUAUUGAAAUUGUUCGCAAAUAACAGCUCCACCAUUUUGUAGUGGCUCCAGCCUUCAGAACACAUCAGCGCAAUCACAUUAACAUGCAGUAAUGACCAUGUGCGGAUGUGAUUCCACAAUGUCUACAUAUCAUUUAAUUGCAAUUAUAACAUUGCAAAACUACAAUAGCAACAGAAAACAAAUUGACUUCAUUAAUCCAGUGCAAGAGACAAUAUGAAAUUUAUACUGCAAGCCUGGAAGGAACAAAUCAUAAGCAUGUGUAUGUACAAUGUGACAAAUCAACUUUAUCAUAUAGCCAUGUGGGCCAAAUACUGAAACCAAGAAAUGGUUCUUCAUGAAACUAGCAUAUAGAGAUAAAUGCCUUGAAAAACUUGAAAACUAAUACAAUAACCACGACACACAACCCAUUUGAAGGAGGAAAAUUAAACCAUGUCUUUCGCUAAUAUUCUGUACAACUCAAUUAAAGGCUGCAAACACUAUCAAAUUGUUGCCUCCACACAAGGUAAUUAUUUAGCAUCACAGAAAAAGAUUACUUACUUCGUAUGCACAAAGACUGGAGUAGCCAUAUAUUCUUCACCUUCAAUGAUUUUAUCUUUGUUUUCUUUUUCAGGCCCGGCGUUAGAGCUCUGCAUAUGUGAAGGUGUUAACGAAGAUGGAUCAGGUAUCCCAUGUUUCAACAGGUCAACCUGCGAAUAGAAAGAAACAAUUGUAAUUUUUCCAGCCAGAAUGUCCAAGGAUGAGAGUAACAAGAAGAUCAAUAGCCAAACGAGAUGCAACAGAAACGCCUAGAAAUUAGGCAGAUUACUAGCAUAAUAACUUUCUGGUGCAAUAUGAAAUAUCACACAUUAGUGAGCAGAAGAUUAGGGUGGGAAUGAUACCGUCAACAUUAAAUGCCACAUAUCAUCAUCAUGAACUCCAUCUGAUACCACCAGCACAAUGUGACAAAUGGAUGCUAGAAGAACACCGAGCUAAAGGGAAUCCUUACAGAAGACCAUAAAUAUAUAAAUUCAUUAGACAUUCUAUGAUUGUCAAUCGAAAGAAUACCAAAAGGAGUAGGUAGAAUCAAUAUGUACAAAGAUUAUGCUCUAGUACAGAAGUAAGAUGUGCACUUUCUCUUUACUCACCUGAAUAGCCAUAAGUUCAUGAGCCAAUUCAGCAGAUAGAUUUUCACCACUUAAAACUGAAAUAGUGGACGAACCAUCAGGUCUCAUCAUCUCAGAUAGUAUAGAAGGGCUAAAAACAGGCUGCAAAUAAACAAAAAUUGUAAUAGGGGUAAAGGGAAGGAAAAAGAAAAAGAAGGGAGGGGGGGAGGNNNNNNNNNNNNNNNNNNNNNNNNNNNNNNGGGGGGGGAAUUAACAGAGAGAUAAUCAAGAAAUGUCGGGGAUAAAGGUGAGUAAUACACAUUAAAAAGGCAUGAUACCCACAAAUCUGGUGUCAAAAAAUUGGAGUGAACUAUUGUUUAUAAGCUUCGAAAGUAUGCUGCUCAAGCAUAUGUCCAGUUUUCUGUUAAAAGAAUAUAGGAAUGGAAUUUUCCAUGUUCUGUCAGGAAUUUUUUUCACAUGUUAUAGUGUGAAAGGCAACCUCAUAAAUUCAUCGUUUAGACUCAAUUGUAGAAGCACUCUCUUGGUCUUCAUGUAUUUAUUCAUUAUGUGGAAGACCUCUUUAAAGUAAUUUUAAAUGGUCAAUUAAUACUCCAAGUCAGAAUACAGUAAACCAUGUUGUUUGCAUGUCAUAAGAAAAAACAAAUCAGGUGCAUGAUUCAAAAGAGAGGUUUAUAAUCAAAACCUGGGUGUCAAGAAGUAUAAGCCUCUCAGCAGAUAUCCUUGGUUCAAUGCCUACACUGCAAUGUCUAGCCAUUGCUCUGUUAUCUUCUGUCUGUAUAGUAAAUGGCGGCAGCAUUCCUGUAUUAUAGAAUUGCAAAGUUAUCUUCGGGAAGUAGUCUUACAACAAAUAAAACAUCACAUAUGAACUCAAGCAGACAAAUAGCAUUUUGCUAUGAGAACUAAUCAGAAAAGCAUCUUAUUGCCCCUCUUUUUAAGACUGCCGUCAGAUGAAUGGUUAUAGCUUCUCACUAAAGUCACCUUAACUUGGUUUCAACUUUCUUCCACAUAACUGAAAUUGCUAGACACUCAUAUAAAAAGCAUAACAUUGCCACUUCUAUAAUCAUUCACUACCAAGAACAAAACUCUAUACUACAGUUCUUCUUCUAGUCAGGAUAAAACCCAAAAAUAUAAUUGCGAAAGAAAGGUGACUAUAAGAGAAAUGAAAAUAAAUGUUUUAGUUAAAAAUCAUACUGAAACUAAGCACCCAUAAAUUACCAAAUACAACCUAUAUAGACAAUUAACAACAAUGUGAACGUAUAAAUUCGAAAGGAAUAAGUAUCUCGCACUUAUAAUAUAAAGAAAAUACUAACCAGGUGAACUUCCAUCAAAGCCAUAAAGUUCAUUCAUGAUGGUUGAUUUGCCAACUCCAGGCGGCCCAAUCACUCCAACGACCGUGAAGUCUGUAUUCUCAGUCAGAAACUGCACAAAAUCACAAACUUUUAUCAAGCUUUAGCUUCACAAUACCCAUAUUAUUCCCCAAACAACUUUAAAAAAAAUCUCCACCAAAUUGAAGCUAAAGCGAUACAUAUAGACACAAAAGUAGCAUGAGAGUUACAGGAAGAAAACGAUCAAUGUGAAAUUCCCAGGAAUCAGAGAGGAGAUUGAGAGAGCCGAUUGCAGGUAGACGAGACCUAUGCGAUACAGUUUCAUCUUCGGCACCGGCACGGCCGAAUUUACCUACCACCGGCCCAGAAGUGACAAGACCGGGCUUUGCCAAAAGGAUUUUAGGAGCAGGAGGAGCCGGUGAGGGAUUGGAAGAACCGGUGCCGCUAGUAGAUCCUGCCAUUGAGUCGGGUUUGGACCUCGGAGCUGAUUUUCAGUUGCCCAAGCCUAGCUUCAGUUUGCACUUUGCAGUUCGUAGUUCUGACAUUAGUUGAUGAAAACCACCUCUAAAUUUUAUUUAGCUGAGCGAAUUGGGCUCGGUAAGGGUCAACAACAGCUUUGUUUGGGUUAGUUUUUUCUGGCCCAAAGCCGACAAAGCAAACUUCUUCGGUAUUAGACUUGUUUAAACCCGGUAAGCCUAUCUACAGACCAAUCAAUUAAAAUUGAGAUUUUUUAAAAAUUAUCUCUAUUUUAUUUUAUCUUUUUUUUCAUAAUUAAUCGUUAUAAUACUCUCAUUUUAAUAAAAAAAAUACUUUGGUUCAUUAAUGAGUACGUAGACGGGUCCAAGCAAGUCAAUCCUGUUUAAUAAUUUUAUAUAUAAAAGUUCAAUCAAGUUAACACUACGGUUUUUUAAAAUUGACUACUUCAUACUCAAAAUAUAGAGUGAUUCUGCAACAAAUCGAUAAGUUAAAUGUAUUUUUAUAAAUUUAGUAUGUAAAAUAAUUCAAUAAUCAUGAUUUAUCAUGAUCAUAAUGAUCAUUUUGCAUAUUCUGAGAUUAAUUUGUCUAGACUUGGAUCAUGUAUGAGCUCGUAUCCAUAGACCAACCAAUGGAAAGUAAUCUUUCACUGCAUUGAGGGUUUACUAAUGAAUUAAUCACAUUUUUGGACAAUAUUACUUAUAAUCAAUUUAUAAGGAAAAAACACACACACACACAAGAAGCUAUUAGCAUAAUUACUAAUUUAUUUAUCAUAAAGAGAGAUCUACACUCUCUAACACAUUACCGCAACAUUCUAUUCUUACUGAUAUAUAGCUUACAUGCAAACCAACCAAGCAACAAGUUCUUCUUACGAGCUACCAAUAUUAGCAAAUUCGAUAGCCCCAUCAUUAAUUUAAUUGCCCGGAGCUAUUAUUACCAUUCCCAGUAUUAGUAUGGCUGCCGCUAUUAUGAUAGGAAUAAGGGUUUGGAUAACUAGGAUUGGCAUAAUAAGGCAGCGGUGGUGGUGGAGGAGGCGGAGCAGGGGGAUAAACAUAAUAAGGAGGAGGAGGAGGAGGAGCAUAGCAGUAUUGUGGUGGUGGUGGAGGAGUUAUUAUAUAUUUCUGUGUAUAAGCAAAACAAACAGGAGGAGGAGUAGGAGGAGCAUAGCAGUGUAGUGGUUUUGGUAAUAAUGAUAUACAUUUUUUCAUGUCAGUCUCUUCAACUCUGUGUAGCUUAUCAAUCUUUGGGUCGAAAUGGUCUCGCACUUGUUCUUUAAUUCGUUCUGCCAUAGCUAGUUGCUUGUAACUAUCUUAAUCUUACUAUGCUUGCAGGAAUAGGAACAAGGAAAUUCUUAUUAUAUAGAGGUUGCCAGAGAAUCUAUGAGGAACAUUAGCUUCAGACCAAAGCUACUUCGUUAAUUAGAAAUCCCAAAAUUGUCUUUCCCAUUUAUCAUUGGGUGCAUGGUUAUUGUGUACAACUUCACAACGUGAUUAUGACAUCUGUUUCCUUUGGGCGAAGGUGGAAAUGUGUUGAAUCUAGAACGCAUAAUUUAUUAUGGAUGCUUUAUUCUAUCUCCACUUAUAAAAUGCCAAAUUGACACAAUAGACUUACGUUACGAUCUCAAGAGCUUUGCUAAAAAAAAUAGAAGAAAUAUAUAUACAUAGAGACAUGCAAAAUCUGAGAAAACCACACGAAUUUUUUACUAUAGCAGAGGUGAGGCAUCAGGCUGGCAUGGCACAAGCAUAAAAAACUUUUUGAGAUGCACGAUGUAGAACUAAUACAUUUUUUUUUUAAAUUCACACAUAGUAAUAUGGAAAAAACUUAUACAGGUCUAUGGUUCUCUUUAUAGACCAAAUAAAUGAAACUAAAGAUUCUUUAAGAAGUAUUCUCACUUAGGUAAGUUUUUCGCUAAUGAUAUUGAUAUCUGGUGUUAUAUUAGAGAAGAAAUCAAAUUAUAUAAAAAUGAAAAAUAAUUGUUUUUAUUUUAUCUUAUUAGAUGAGCUAUAUGAAAGGGUACUCUUUUAUAGGCUUCAAAUUCAAAUCCAUUAAUUAAGGAAUUCAAGCUUUCAUUAUCACAAGAUGUGACAUAAAAUCACUUCGUCAAUUUAUUUGUUAUUUCAAAUUAUACAAAAUUCACUAUUGAGUUAGUGAAUCUCAAAUUAAGCUCAAUUUUAAGUUUGCAAAAAAAGCCAUAAUUUUUUUUUUUUUUGAAAAAUAAAAAUUAUAAACUGUAAAUAAAUUGAGUUUGAGUUUGAAUAUAUUUUUAGCAAACCGAACUCAAAAGUAAUUAUUAGAAAUUGUAACGUUCAUAUAAUCAUCCUAAUAAACAGAGGAUGAUGAAACAUAUCUAUGUAUAUGUAAUGACUUCAUUUCAUAGCCAACUUUGAUUCCAAUUAAUCUAUAUUUUUUUAAUUAUUUUAAUUUUAAUUUUUUUUAUUUUUCCUAUUGUAUUUUAAUUUUACCUAACUAGUUGAAGCAUGAUUCUUCACAGCACAAACAAAGCAUUCGACAAUGAGAACCCAUUUCCCAACCACUAACGCGUGUGUAUAUAUUGGUGGAUGCUUUGAAAGUGGAAGAAGAAUAUAACGAUGCUUCAAAGCAGCAGGAGACUCCGCCCAAAUAGUUAGGAGGCCAAAAAAUAAUUUUAUUUAAUUAUAAAUGGCAAAACAAAUUUUUUUUUUAAAUUUUUUACAUUAAAAAUUGAUUUUUUUUUUUUUUUUUUUGAGAGGGCCACGGCCCCUUCGCCCUAGCUUGCGUCUGCCCCUGCUUCAAGUAUAGAAACCGUAAAACCCCAUUGAAAAAAUGAGGAAAGAAUUAUCUUUUUUUUUUAAAAGACAGAGAUAGUGCAAUCGUACUUUUAAAAAGAGAAGGAUAUGAUCAUAAUCUUUUCUUCUAAUUUUGUUAUUUAUAGUGUUAUUUAUUUAUCUUUUAUUUUUUAUUUUUUUGCAUAUAUGCUAUUGCCACCAACUUAUAUGGAUGAAAUUAAUUCAGGUUGACGUUAGAUAUAAAGUCUUCCUAGUAAUGAUAGCAAUUUUAAAUUUCAAAGUUUCAAUAUUAUUGAAAAAGUUCAUACGCAAAUCGAGAUGGAGCUAGACUUUAAAAUUUGGAUGCCAAAAAAAAAAAAUUCAAAAUAAAAAUUUCCAAAGCAAAGAAAGAUUUUUUUUUUUUUCACUGUAUUAUAAAGUAAAAUUAUAAAAAUUUUUGGAGUUUGAGGGUCGGUGCUCCUCCAAAUCCAAUAUCCCCCUCUCUCCCCACUGCAUGGGAAUAUAAUCCUCUUCGAAUGAUCUAACCAUUGUUGGCGUUGUUAAUAUUGCAAAAAUUGCAGCAACAUCAUUUUGUUUUCUUUUGUUUUUUACUUUAGAUGGAAAAGCCCAUGAUUUUAUUCACUUACAGAAGUCAAAAUUGGAUUGGAAAAAAAAAAUCCUUAUAAAAAUUAUGUUUUAUUCCUGUAAAAAUUAAAAUAUUUUAUUUCCCCUCCGGUAUUUUUAUUUUAAAAACACCUAAAUAAGAUAUAUGGACCAAAUAAAUGAAGAUAAAAAAUGAACAUAAUAAGCAAAUUAUUUGCUGUACAAAUAUAUAUGAUCAAUACUCAAAAAUAAACAUAAUAAGGAAAUUAAAUAAUAGAUCGGUAGUUAAAGAUAUUACCAUAAUAUUUUAUUUAUCAUGAAAUAAAGAGGUACAUAUAAGACCUCAUAUAUAUAUACAUAUAUAUAUAUAUAUAUAUAUAUAUAUAUAUAUAACACAACACAGUCUUGGACAGGUAGAUACUUACGUUGGUCAUAACUCUAAAGCCGCAGACAUGUUAUUUAAUUGUUUUGAACAGCUAGCUGCUAACUUUCACUUCACACUUAGCUUCAUUAAUUAAUUACUCAUACCAAGUUCUUAAGAGCUGCCUAUGUUGCCAAAUUUCAUAGUUCCUUCGUUUUUUUGACCGGAACUAUUAUUACCGUUGCCGGUAUUGGUAUGGCCACCACUAUUAUGGUAAGAAUAAGGAGGAUAUGGAUAACCUGGACCUGGCUGUGAAGGGUGGCCAUAAUAAGGUGGUGGUGGAGGAGGAGCCGGAGGAUAUCCAUGGUUGUUAUGAGGUGGCGGAGGAUGAGCCGGAGGAUACCCGGGAUACCCAUAGUUACCAUUAUGAGACGGUGGCGGAGGAGGAGGAGGAGGAGGAGCAGGAGGAUAUCCAUGAUUUCCAUUAUGAGGUGGCGGAUGAUGAGCCGAAGGAUAUCCGGGAUACCCAUAGUUUCCAUUAUGAGGCGGUGGCGGAGGAGGAGCAGCAUAGCUGUUGGGAUUGCAUUGUGGUGGCGGCGGAGGAUAGGAAUGAUAAGAUUCAUAAGACGAAGGUGGUUGUACUAAACAUUUUGAUGAAGCUUUCUUCUUGAGGUUGGUCUUUUCUUCAGGAUGAGUAUCAGUAACCCAGUUGAAAAGACCGCGAGCAACGCCAUGUAUGGCACCGUCCAGUGGAGCUAAAGGAAAAGUUACAACAUCAGCUACCCUGUGCAGAGUAUCGAACUGUAGUUCGACACUGUCUCUCACCUGAUUUUUAACUCGGACAGCCAUAGCCACACUGUUCUAUAACUAGCUUAAUUACUUAUGCUUUGGUUAUGGUGCACUGAUACACUUAAUAUAUACAAUCUAUUUAUGGAUGUGUGCAGGGAUGAUGAAGAAUAUAUUUUCUGCUUCGUACUAAAGCUACUUUUUCUCUAUAAGAAUUAUUCAUAUUCACCAUAUUAUGUGGAGAAGAGGACUGCGACUAUUUUAUUUUUCAUGGUUUUUCACAGUCUUGGACAGGUAGAUACUUACGUUGGUCAUAACUCUAAAGCCGCAGACAUGUUAUUUAAUUGUUUUGAACAGCUAGCUGCUAACUUUCACUUCACACUUAGCUUCAUUAAUUAAUUACUCAUACCAAGUUCUUAAGAGCUGCCUAUGUUGCCAAAUUUCAUAGUUCCUUCGUUUUUUUGACCGGAACUAUUAUUACCGUUGCCGGUAUUGGUAUGGCCACCACUAUUAUGGUAAGAAUAAGGAGGAUAUGGAUAACCUGGACCUGGCUGUGAAGGGUGGCCAUAAUAAGGUGGUGGUGGAGGAGGAGCCGGAGGAUAUCCAUGGUUGUUAUGAGGUGGCGGAGGAUGAGCCGGAGGAUACCCGGGAUACCCAUAGUUACCAUUAUGAGACGGUGGCGGAGGAGGAGGAGGAGGAGGAGCAGGAGGAUAUCCAUGAUUUCCAUUAUGAGGUGGCGGAUGAUGAGCCGAAGGAUAUCCGGGAUACCCAUAGUUUCCAUUAUGAGGCGGUGGCGGAGGAGGAGCAGCAUAGCUGUUGGGAUUGCAUUGUGGUGGCGGCGGAGGAUAGGAAUGAUAAGAUUCAUAAGACGAAGGUGGUUGUACUAAACAUUUUGAUGAAGCUUUCUUCUUGAGGUUGGUCUUUUCUUCAGGAUGAGUAUCAGUAACCCAGUUGAAAAGACCGCGAGCAACGCCAUGUAUGGCACCGUCCAGUGGAGCUAAAGGAAAAGUUACAACAUCAGCUACCCUGUGCAGAGUAUCGAACUGUAGUUCGACACUGUCUCUCACCUGAUUUUUAACUCGGACAGCCAUAGCCACACUGUUCUAUAACUAGCUUAAUUACUUAUGCUUUGGUUAUGGUGCACUGAUACACUUAAUAUAUACAAUCUAUUUAUGGAUGUGUGCAGGGAUGAUGAAGAAUAUAUUUUCUGCUUCGUACUAAAGCUACUUUUUCUCUAUAAGAAUUAUUCAUAUUCACCAUAUUAUGUGGAGAAGAGGACUGCGACUAUUUUAUUUUUCAUGGUUUUUUCUUUUUAGAGAAAUAAUGGAAUUAAACUUGUUAUCCCACUUGCAGUAUGGGAAUUAUCUAGUAGGGUGCCAAUUACCAUUUUAACGCAGAUGGGGUUGAAUUGAUAUGGAUCUCUUUUCAUAAGAGAGAAACAAAAUUUUAAUAUAACUAUGAAUAUAGUAUAAAUUUUUAUUUUCAUUAUUGAAAAUUUUUAAUAUUUCUAAUUUUCAUAUUAUAUAAAUUAUGCAAAAAUAAUUGUACGAUAUAGUUGCCAAAGAGUGAAUGAACCAAUACAUGAUUAGGGGUAAUGGUAUUCUCAUAUCUUUUUCUUGUUGUUCAGAUUUUUAAAAUUUUUUUACUUAGAUUGGGUAUGCUGAGAGACCUAUAUAUUGGUUUAAUUAAAAUUAAGGUUUUUACAUUUGCUAAGUUUUUCUUAAAUUUAUAAUUAAUAAUAACAAACUAUAAAUUGCUGAUAAAAAAAAAAUAUAGACAUAUUCUAAGGUUCUAAAAAUAUUCAAUUUUUGUGGCACAGUUAUCUAAUGUUUUCUUUGGAUUAAUGAAGUGCUUUAUAUAUAUUGGGGGGACUUGAAUGUGGUUGGAUGAUAGUGUGAGUAUCUCAUUUUCAGCUGCAAGAUAAGACAUGAGACUUGUUUUGAAUCUUUGAUAGCUAGUUUUCAAGGCAUGAUUCUCUGAACGUCGUAAUAUUUGGCAUUAAAACCAAACUCCAUCCAAUUGCAAUCGAGCGACGCACGUACGUAGUGACGCUGAAAUUGUAAUAUUCUCUAUAGAGAAGGCAAUGUUUGCGCAGACUGGCUUGCACAUUAUGGAGCUAGUCUUGCGCCUGGGCUGCAUCGAAUUCAACGGCCUCCUACAGGCAUGUUUCAUUUGAUUCUUCAUGACUUGUGUUUGGAGUCUCGUAUCUUAGAAAUGUUCUGAUGUAAUUUUUGUUCGUUUUGUUAUCUCAUUCUUUUUUCAAAACGAAAAAAUCUUGUACACAACUAUUCUAGUAAAAUAAUUUAUAUGAAAAUAUUUUCCAUAAUUUUUCAUUGUUUGAGGGAAUUCAGGAAAAAAAGUCAACGGAAAAUAUUUUCCAAUUUAAAGGAAAAUUAAAACAUUUUUAAGGAAAAUAAUUUUUCAUUUUUAAGAGCAUAAAUCAUUUUUCAGAGUUUGACAAACUUAUAAUUGUAACGUUUUAUUUUUCUAUUGAAUCGAGUCGUUGCUUAGAGUCGAGUCGGGCUGCUUUAAAACCCGGUUCGAGCCAUUAGAGUCUAGAGUGGGCUAGAAUGAAAUAAGGAGAAGAAGUGGACUUAUUUGAAGGAAAUAAAAGAUCAAAGUAUAAGGAUUAGGAGUUGAUUUCAUUAAAGUAUAAAGUUGAGGUAUUGAGUUGUACCAUUUUGACACUUGAGGUACCAUUUGGUAAUUUUCACAUAAAAAUCAAUGUAAUUCUAGAGACUACCCGUGAGUUCCAUUUCACUUUCAUUUCUUCAUCCUUAUCUUCAUCUUCUUCCUCUACUUUCCUCUUACACUUUCUUUUCUCCAUCAUGUUUAAUGGUGGGGAAGAUGUUAAUGGGAGUUAAGCAUUAAUUCAACUNNNNNNNNNNNNNNNNNNNNNNNNNNNNNNNNNNNNNNNNNNNNNNNNNNNNNNNNNNNNNNNNNNNNNNNNNNNNNNNNNNNNNNNNNNNNNNNNNNNNNNNNNNNNNNNNNNNNNNNNNNNNNNNNNNNNNNNNNNNNNNNNNNNNNNNNNNNNNNNNNNNNNNNNNNNNNNNNNNNNNNNNNNNNNNNNNNNNNNNNNNNNNNNNNNNNNNNNNNNNNNNNNNNNNNNNNNNNNNNNNNNNNNNNNNNNNNNNNNNNNNNNNNNNNNNNNNNNNNNNNNNNNNNNNNNNNNNNNNNNNNNNNNNNNNNNNNNNNNNNNNNNNNNNNNNNNNNNNNNNNNNNNNNNNNNNNNNNNNNNNNNNNNNNNNNNNNNNNNNNNNNNNNNNNNNNNNNNNNNNNNNNNNNNNNNNNNNNNNNNNNNNNNNNNNNUUAGCUUUACAUGGGUUUUUGAAUCACCCAAAUCGGAGUUAUAUAUUGAGAGAUAUGGUCAAAAGAGUACAGACUGUGCAGGCUGAAAAAUGCGCGCGCGCGAAUUGCAUGAAAAGCUCGCGAUCGCGACUUUCAUUUGCGCGCUCGCGACCUUCACCUGAAACUCUCUGACUCUCAUUUGGUGCUUUACGCACUCGCGACUUUGCACUGCGCGCUCGCGACUUGUGCCCGAUAACUCACUGACUCUCAUUUUUNNNNNNNNNNNNNNNNNNNNNNNNNNNNNNNNNNNNNNNNNNNNNNNNNNNNNNNNNNNNNNNNNNNNNNNNNNNNNNNNNNNNNNNNNNNNNNNNNNNNNNNNNNNNNNNNNNNNNNNNNNNNNNNNNNNNNNNNNNNNNNNNNNNNNNNNNNNNNNNNNNNNNNNNNNNNNNNNNNNNNNNNNNNNNNNNNNNNNNNNNNNNNNNNNNNNNNNNNNNNNNNNNNNNNNNNNNNNNNNNNNNNNNNNNNNNNNNNNNNNNNNNNNNNNNNNNNNNNNNNNNNNNNNNNNNNNNNNNNNNNNNNNNNNNNNNNNNNNNNNNNNNNNNNNNNNNNNNNNNNNNNNNNNNNNNNNNNNNNNNNNNNNNNNNNNNNNNNNNNNNNNNNNNNNNNNNNNNNNNNNNNNNNNNNNNNNNNNNNNNNNNNNNNNNNNNNNNNNNNNNNNNNNNNNNNNNNNNNNNNNNNNNNNNNNNNNNNNNNNNNNNNNNNNNNNNNNNNNNNNNNNNNNNNNNNNNNNNNNNNNNNNNNNNNNNNNNNNNNNNNNNNNNNNNNNNNNNNNNNNNNNNNNNNNNNNNNNNNNNNNNNNNNNNNNNNNNNNNNNNNNNNNNNNNNNNNNNNNNNNNNNNNNNNNNNNNNNNNNNNNNNNNNNNNNNNNNNNNNNNNNNNNNNNNNNNNNNNNNNNNNNNNNNNNNNNNNNNNNNNNNNNNNNNNNNNNNNNNNNNNNNNNNNNNNNNNNNNNNNNNNNNNNNNNNNNNNNNNNNNNNNNNNNNNNNNNNNNNNNNNNNNNNNNNNNNNNNNNNNNNNNNNNNNNNNNNNNNNNNNNNNNNNNNNNNNNNNNNNNNNNNNNNNNNNNNNNNNNNNNNNNNNNNNNNNNNNNNNNNNNNNNNNNNNNNNNNNNNNNNNNNNNNNNNNNNNNNNNNNNNNNNNNNNNNNNNNNNNNNNNNNNNNNNNNNNNNNNNNNNNNNNNNNNNNNNNNNNNNNNNNNNNNNNNNNNNNNNNNNNNNNNNNNNNNNNNNNNNNNNNNNNNNNNNNNNNNNNNNNNNNNNNNNNNNNNNNNNNNNNNNNNNNNNNNNNNUAGCAGAUAAGAUCAUGCUAGUAUCAUAAUGUGUGAUUAUAGGUUCAUGGAAAGGAGUUAUGAGAUAAUUAGAACUAAAUUAUUGAUGUUUUGAAUUAGAAAUUUAUUCGUUGCUAUAAAGAGACAUUUAUGUUGAAAUUUACUGAUUCUAUGAGUAUCAAUGCUUUAUAAAAUUUGUAUUUUAAGUUAGUUGCCAUCGCACUUUAUUAAGUAUGUGAAUUAUGAGCACCACUGAGUUUUAUACUCAGCGCGUCGAUUUUUAUCACGUGUAGGUUGAAGAUUGUGGUUAGUACUUGAAGAUUUGAGGAGUACGUUCAAAGCAGAAGUGACUAACUUGGUCAUAGUAGAUUGAGAGUUGUAAUAUUAAGAAUUAUGGCAUGUAUUAAGAUUUAUGGCAUGUAUAAUUAUUACAUUUUUUUUGGAGAUUAUGUUAUUUGAAUUAUAUGUAAUAAUAAAUUAUUUUGGUUUAUAUAUUUGGAGAUAAGCAUAGGAUUUAUUAAAUGAGUGAAUAUGAAAUAUUUUAAGUCAGUUGAUAUGAUUACUUCAUUAAGACUUGAUAUCUAUAAUGAAUGCAAGUAAUUGAUCUAGUUGGUAUGAUUAAGUCAUGAAGACUCGAUAUAGAUCAUGAAUGCACUUAAUUGCUAGAUAUUAAAUGCUGUUGAGGAUUUAUACAAUUAUGAAAAGAUAUAUAAAGUGUUAUUGUGUUAUGAUGAUUCUUUGGAGAUGUUGGAAGUUUAGAGUUUNNNNNNNNNNAGUUUAUAUUCAUAUUUUUCAUACAGUAUGAUAUCCGCAUGACAGGACAUAGGUUCAACCAGAUUGUAGCGUCUCGGCUCGGUUCAUUCGGGUUAACGGGUGGACCGGAAAGGGAUGUUACAAUAAUAACCUUAUAAAUUCAUAUUUUGUUAAUUUAUUAAUUAUCAGUAACCAUUAUCACCACUCACCGUUCACCAUCACGGCCACCAUCCACCAACAACACCUGCCACCAGUGACUUUUAUAAUUUAAUUUUUUUUACAUUCUUCUCAUAUUUAACAAUAAAAUUUUUAAAAUACGAAAUUUAUACUAUUAGUAUUUUUAUUUUCAUCGUCUUAUGAGUUAAAAAUUUUAAUAUUUUUAACUAAUUUUUAAAUUGCAACCAAAAAUGGAAAAUAAGUCAUUUGAAAAAUAUUUUCAAGGAAAAUAUUUUCCUUGUAAAAUAUUUUACAAAUGAACCAAUUAAUUGCCCUUGCAUAAUAUUAUAAUAUUACUUAUACGAAACAAUAAUUAAUUUUUUUAAAAAAAAAGAGGAUAUUAGAACAAUAACUAAUUUAUUUAUCAAUAAAGAGAGGUUUAAAACCUCAAAUACAACUAAGAUUACACCAGCAGAAUUAUUCAUACAUAUAUAAUUAUAUAGAUAGAAAGGUCAUUCGGUUACUGCUGGAUCCAUAUAGAGCUUGCAAGCAAACCAUGCAACAAGUUCUUCUUAGGAGCUACCAAUGUUUCCAAAUUUGACAGCUCCAUUGUUUGUUUGCCCAGAACUAUUAUUAUCAUUGCCGGUAUUAGUGUGGCCACCAGUGUUAUAAUAGGAAUAAGGAGGGUAUGGAUAACCAGGACCUGGCUGUGAAGGGUUGGUAUAAUAAGGUGGUGGCGGCGGAGGAGGAGACGGAGCAGGAGGAUAAGCAUAACUAGCAGGAGGAGGAGGAGGAGCAAAACAGCUUUGUGGUUGUGGUGGUAGACAAGUCUCGUUACAGGGUUUAGGUUUUUCCUCAGGAUGGGUAUCGGUGAGCCAGUUUAGAGCACCUCGAGCUAUGCCAUGUAUGGCUCCAUCAAGUGGGGCUAAAGGAAAGGUUAUAAUAUCAGCAGCUCUGUGUAGCCUAUCGAUCUUUCGCUCAAAAUGGUCUCGCACUCGAUCUUUAACUCGUUCUGCCAUAGCUAGCUAGUUGCUUUCUACUAGUCGUCUUUUCUUGUAUAUUUGGGAACAACAAAAUCCUCAUUAUAUAGAAGUUGCAGGAGAAUAUAUGAGGAAUAUUUAAUCGUUAGGUUUAAUUUCCUUUAGACAAAGCUACUUCAUUAGGAAUUUCAAAAUUAUCAUAUUCAUCAUUAUCUUUACUGGUGCAUUUUUUAUGGUAUACAAUAAUUUUAAUAUUUGUUUCAUUUUCUGCAAAGCUAAUGAGGCAUAGGCACAUGCAGGGAAUACUUUUGUGAUACACGUUUUAUAAAUAUAUUCGUUUUCAACUAAUCAAAUGUGAUUUAAUUGGUCUUCUUUAUUAAUGUGAUGAUUCGAAUAGCUCUUUUUUUAACUUACUAAAUUGAUGAAAAUUCUUAUAGUCGAAAGAAUUCAAACUAGAGUUCUUCUACUUCUUGCAUUUUUGAGAAGACCAACUAGACCACAACUGAUUGAUUGUAAGUUUGAUAUUUUAGAUUAACUUAAUUAAAUGAAAAUCUGAAAGCAUAUGAAAAUUAAUCACGGAAUACAAAGGUCUGAUUAGAUUGCUACAAGAUGUCACCUAUAUUAUGUAAUCAUCUUAUGUCACUUUUGUCAAUGGAUAUUUAUGUAAUCAGUUGUAUUGAAAUGGCCGUAUUAUGUCAUUUUCAAGAAACUAAAGUGAAAUGAGAUGAUUCUAUAAUAAAGGGGUGAAAUAAUUUAUAGUCAGGAAAGAAAAGACUGUCUAUGACUUUUCGUUUUUCAUCGGUUUAUAUGAAUUUGAGAAUUCCUUACAUAUAUUUAUUGGUGGGUAGAAAUAGAUAAAUGAAAAAUAUUCUUGGCUAUGAAAUUUCCUUACACGGUCCGAAAUAAUCAAUUAGGAUAAAAAUGUGGGUCCUACUGGUAGUAUUUAUGCUUGUUUUGUUUGUGGUACAGUGUAGACUCAGUGACGAAUUAGAUUAAAUGGAAUCGAAGAAAGAAAUUUUGUACAAUUUUGAAAAAUUAAAAAGAAACUGAAAAUUAGGAAAUAUCUCUCUUCCUCCAAAAGAGGGGGGAUGGGCGAUUUAUGUUAAUUUAGUUUGAUUUGAUAGAAUAUUGAGUGAUCUAAUAAAAAUUUUGUGAAUUUAUUAAAUUUUUUUAUUUAAUUGAAAAAAAUAAAACACAAUAUGGAAUUAAUAGAUUUAUUUUUUUUUAAAGAAACGGAAAUAUAUUAAUCCAUAUAAAGAGAAUACAAAUAAUUUGGAAUAGAUUCUCAAAUUGGGAGACUAAUAUGGUUACACGAAGAUUUUGCUAAUUGAUGAGCUCCAAGAUUCAUUUGGAGUCGAAUCCAUUGAACAGAGAACUUAAAAACUAUUUUACAAUUAUUUAUCACCAAACCAUAAGGAGAGCAAUCUGGUGUUGGAGAUGAUAAAAAUAGAUAACUUGCUGUGAAUCGGUAUAUACAGAGCCUGUUCCAUGUAAAUUACCUCCAAUCCAAAGCAAAUUCUGACGAAGAGCCAUAGCCUCGACUAAAAUAGCAGAACUGCAGCCUGGGAAUUUGCCUGUUAAGGCAAUCUUGAAAUGACCUUCUAUCUCUUCUCAACCGAACCAAAAUCCAACCCUCUAUAUCUUCUCAACCGAACCAAAACCUGAUGCACCCAUUGCUGAAAACAAAGCUCCAUUUGUGAAAACUUGCCGCUGCAGGACUGUCAUGGUUGGUUGGAUAUAUCCAGGAACAGUAUGACGCCUGCUAAGAGUUGAAGACAGACUUGCACGAAGACUAGAUGUUUGGUUUUUUUUUUUUUUUUGAAAAGAAGACUAGAUGUUUGUUGUGAUGAUCCCAAAUAAUCUUGUUACGGUGCCACUAGGGCUGCACGUGGGUCGGGUUGGGUCGGAUUGAUUAAUUUAAAGUUUUUGACCUGUAUAUGUGGGUCUAUAAUUUUUUUAUCCAAUCCAAUCCAUUAAAUGUGUAGACCCACAGAUUAUAAACCGGUUAGGUUGGUUAUAGAUUUAAUGUAAAUCCGCGGUCAAAUAACUGAUAAUAAUAAAAUUAUUUUUAAAUAAAAUAUAACUCUUUAAGAGGGUUAGUAAAAAAAUUAAAUAUACUCAACGAUCUUAAUUAUGUAAUAAUUUUUACAAACUAUAAAUAUAUUUCAAUGACAAUAUUAAAAUUAAAUUUCUUAACAUGUUCAUUAUUAUCGGCAUCAUAAUCAUAAUCAACAAUGAAAAAUUAAAUUUUCCAAUUAAAAAAACGACCAAAAAAUUAGAAAUACUUAGUAACAUAAUUAUAUAAUAUGUUUCAUUUAAACUACAAUAUACUCCAAAAGCAAAGGUAAUAUCUACUAUAUGUAAAUAAUUUAGUAUUUAUAUUCAAAAUUGCAAAUCAAAUCAAAUCAACUAAAUAAUUCAUAAUUAUUUAUGGGUUGGGACGGAUCUACAAAUUUAUCUAUUGAACCUGUGAUCCAACCCAACCCGUAAAUUAUAAAGAUGACUCGCCCAACCCAAUUCAUCAUAUCUUCAAACCCGCCGAGUUGGACAGUUUGGAUUGGAUCGAAUUAUAACGAGUUAUGUGCAGCCCUAGAUACCACCACAGAUACCGUGAAAUAAUAGAUUUAUCAAAAGCCUUAAAUUACAAUUUUAGAAAAGAAAAAUCGCAAGCUAUUUCAUCUUUUUUUUUUUCCAAACAAAACAUAUCAUUUUUUUUAAUUAUAAAAUUUAAACCACUUAAUUUUUUUAUAUAUACUUGCCUUGGAGGUAAAGGGUUUGGCGCAAUUGAAAUUUUGGCCCAAGUGAAGUUUACAUUGUAGAGGAUCAAACUCAUGACCUUAGUCAAAGUGAUUGACUCUACAAGUGCUAUUUGCCACUGAGCUAUCCAUUCGAAUUAAACCGCUUAAUUUUUUUUAAAUCUAUAUUAACAAUGGUGAUAAUAAAUAAUAAUAUUUUUUAUUUUUGAUACUCAAUAAGAGGAUACAAUUAAGAGGAAAAGAGACAAAUAAGGAGCAACAAACCCAGCAAAAUAAGAAAGACCAAAGAGACGAUAUCAAUAUUAUAUGAUGCCAUUAAGAAAGAGGUUCAGAGUCCUCAUAUUACAUCAUCAAGUUAAUAUUAUUUGGAAUUGCAACAGAUUUUAGUUAUUAUUUAUAGCCCUAGGUCUUGGAGCUAGUACUCCUGAUCAAUACCCCCUUCUUCACAGGUUGAAUAUCGGAGCUUAAGAGCUGCCAAUGUUGCCAAAUUUGACAGUUCCAGGACCGUUUGUUUGGUUGGAACUGUUAUUGUUAUUGCCAGUAUCUUUGUGACUGCCGGUGUUGGAGUAGGAAUAAGGAGAGGGAGAGCCAUAACCAGGAUAGUAAUAAGGCUGUUGGGGAGGAGGGUAAUAAUAACUUCCAUAGUAAUAAGAUCCAUACGUCGGAGCUGGGGCUGGAGCUGGAGCAGGAGCAGGAGCAGAAGGAGGUGGAGCAUAGUAGGGUUGAUUUGAAUAUUGCGUUUGAGGAGGAUACCCAUAAUUUCCAUAAGGUUGUUGAUAAUCUUGCGCACUUGCCAUUUUCGUUUUUCCCCCUUGUUUUGAUAUGUAGGAGAUGUAAUGAGAAAAUACUAACCAGUAUCUCCUCCUUAAAUGGAUGUAGGAAGAGGAAUAUAUUAUUUGCUUUAAAUCAAAGCUAUAUAUUUUUUUAGGAAUUUUGAUAUUAAUAAUUGUCACUCUCAUGGAGAAGAAGUCAUGGUGACUUGUCCUUUUAGAAAUUUUUAGAUUCAUUUUUAGUUAAAUCAAAUAAGAAAUAACUAAAUAAGGAACUCUUCGACUUUCAAACCUUAUUUUGAGGAUAAAGGAAAUACAAUUACAUGAAAUGGGUAAAAUUCAAAAAACAAGAAAACAUAUCCUUUAAAAAAAAAAGAAGAAAAAAACAAACAUUACCAAAAAAAAACCCUUUGUUUACCAUAAUCUUAUAAAAAAAGAUAAUUUGAAAAAACAAAAUUUGGCAUUGGAUUGAUAUAGAAAUUCUAUGUUUCCAUAAAAAUUCAAUUAUUGAAUACAUGAAUCUCAUAGUGAUAAGCACUUUCUUAUAUAGAUAGGAAUAUUUUUUCAUAUUAAGGGUUUGUUCGGCAAAAUUAACUGUUUUGAUAGUUGUUAAUCAUUAUAUGAUUUAAUUUUUAUAAAAUAGUACCUUAACCUCUAAGAACUGGUUUAAAAGUUAUGUUACGUAAUACUAUAAAAAAGCAUUCAAUGUUUUGACCAAUCAAAACACAACUUAAAAAAAUUAUUGGGGAAACAAAGCCUUAUUAAGAAAAAGAAGAAAUUUUUAAAAAGUUGAAGGGGAAUAUUUCACAAGUCCUUCAAUGUGGCGAAUAACACAAAUAUAAAAAUAGAUGCUCUAAAUUAAUAAUUACUCUAUUAUAAUGUUCAUGUGAUGACUUGAUUUUCCAUUUCCAAUUUUGAUCCCAAUCUCAUUAUUGCAAUCUUAAUUCCAUGAGUCUACAGUUCCAAAUAUUGUUCAAUUGCAUACAUAUUGGAUAAGGCAAAAGUUGCAUUCAUAUAUUCUUUGUUCUUCUCUUGGUAUUAUCCAUCAUUCUAAUAUUGUACUUUUCAGAAAGUAAUACCAUUUCAAUUGAAUCUUUUCCUUUUUUAGGUAUUUUUGUUUGGAAAAUUGAAGUAUAUAUGAUCUUCACAGCACAGAGCAUUCGACAAUAAGAAUCCAUAUUCCAGAUGCCAAUAUAUGUGUAUGUACAAUAUAUAUGGAUGCUUUGAAGGUGGAAGAAGAAUAUAAUAAAGCCUUAAUGCUUUUGACUGGUAAGAUGAUGCCCAGAGCGUGCUUCACGGAUCCUAUGUAUAGUAUACAAAAAUUAUCAUUAUCGUAAGGAUUGAGUUGUUGAUUACUAGAUUAUUAUUAUUGCGAAUUUGUGAUUAUCUAACAUUCCAUAAUUUCUUAAACAGAUAAUAAAUAAAUAAACUGUAAAUAUAACAAUUAAUUUGAAUUUAUCUAUGGUUUGUUUUUUCUUUAUUCGAAAAUUCUAUUUCGUUCAAUUGGAUAAAAAUGAUUUGAAAUUUAAAAAAAAAAAAGGAUUUUGCUUGUUUAUUUUAUAUUUUUUCUGUUUGAAUAAAAUUAAACAUAAAAAAAUAUAAUUAUAUAUUGAAAUAUUUAAUUAAAUAUUUCAAUUUAAACAGAAAAUUUUAACAUUAACAUAACAUAUUAUAUAUUAAUAUGCCACUUAUGUCAUUUUUUUCAAUCUGCCUUGUAUGUAAAGGCCACAUGCAAGCAAUCAAUUCCAUUUAUUUCUUUAUCUCCCGGUGAAUUGUAUAUUCGUAACAAUAAGGAUAAAAUUUUUUCAAUUCCAAUCGAUUAGGCAUACUGUUUUAUUCGUUUGAGUAAUAUAUUUUGAAAUGUAUUUUGCUUUCUUAUUAACAUUAUUUUGAACACAAAAAUAAUUCUUGAAUGAAGUAUUCAACUUCAGGGAUGAAUCAAAAAAUAAAUCUUUAUUUAUUCUACCUCUCAUUUUUUACGAAGAGAAUGAACCUUCUUAUCAAAGGAUCAGAAAAAAAAAAUGGGUCUACAUCUACGAGAAUGAUUUGGAAGAUCGAAAAUAAAAAAUAAUAGUAUUUACUAGCAGCAACAUAAUGGAGGAAGUUCUAAGAAACUUUCAAUUUUCUAAUCACAUAAGUUUAGCUUAUACUAUCAUAUAAAUCUAAUAUCAAUAUAUCCACAAACCCAACAUAAUAAUAUUUUAUCAUUUUUUUUCUUCUUAUUAAUAGUCAGAAAUAUCAUUAUUUGAAUGUUUUUUAAUUAGUUUAAUGUGAAUCAGUCGAAACAAGAACGUAGAUAAGUCUUUUCUUCAUGAAAAUAUAUAAUGGAGGAAAGAAAAGAUACGUUAGAUGCAAAAAAGAAAAUUGAUAGAGAACGAUAUCACCUUAGAGUCUGGGGCACAACCCUAUCAGUUUUUUAAAAUUCAAAUUUUCCCUAUUAAAUUUUAUAUAUUUUUUAAAAAAUAUCCAUAUAAGCCACCAAUUUUAGUUUCAUUUCUUUUUGUUUUUGGACCUCUCAAUACUUAAAGUCUAGUUACACUCAUGAAAAUCAGUAUUCAUUUUCUGCAUUUCAGAUUCCAUUAAUCCUUUCAAACAACACAUUAAAGUAUUGAAGUUAUUCUGAAAAAUUAAUGGAAAAAAUAAAAACUGGGAAAGAAAUGGAUGACGUAAAUGCUUGAAUGCAGGUCUAGCCAUUUGGAUCGAGUUCAUCGAGUUAUGAAUACUUCUAUUUAACGAGAGGAUGGGAAAGUUUGAUAAAACAACCAAUUAUAAAAAUUAUGAAAAUAUUAAUUAAUUACAUUAUAUAACAUUUUUUUCUGAAAAAAGAAAAAAAAAAUGAAGAAUAAUAACUAAUUUAUUUAUCUUAAAGAGAAGUUUAAAACCUCCAAUAUAUUACAGCAACCAUCUUUUUUCUUGGACACGUACGUUAAUUAAGAUUACACAAGCAUAUAUAGUUAAUUUUCUAGUACCCUGACAGAGCUUAUUACAUGCAAACCAUGCGACGAGUUCUUCUUAGGAGCUACCAAAAUUAGCAACUUUGAUAGCUCCAUCAUUUGAUUGCCCAGAACUAUUAUUACCACUGCCAGUAUUAGUAUGGCCACCGCUGUUAUGAUUGGGAUGCGGUGGCUGUGAAGGAGGAGUCUGAGGAGGAGGAGGAUCAUAAUGAUGAUGAUGGUGAUGAACAAAGUUGUAUUGUGGUGGCCACGUUGGAGCAUAGCUGUAAUGUAUUGGUGGUGGUGGCGGCGGCGGCGGUGAUAUAGAUUUGAUUGUAUAAGUGUUGCUAAAGGGUUUUGGAAUUUCUUCAAGAUGAGUAUCAGUACCCCAGUUGAGAAGACCACCGCUGCGAGAUACGCGGUGUAUGGCUACGCUAUGUACAACUCCGCCAUGUACGGCUCUGUCGAGUUGGGCAAAAGGAAAGGUCAUAUUAUCAGUAGCUCUGUGAAGCCUAUCGAGCCGUUCGAAAUGGUCUCGCAUUAGAUCUGCAAUUCGUUCAUCCAUAGCUAGUUGCUGCUGCUAAUCUUAAUUAUCAGUUAUUGACAAUCUUAAUUUGAAGUCUUAUUAUAUAUACAGAGGUUGCAACUUGCAAGAGAAUAAAGGAUAAGAACUGUCUACUGUAUACGAAACAAUGAAAAACCAACGAAAAGAGAUAUUUCGUUUGAAUAAAAAUAUUUUUCAUUAACCUACUUAUAAAACCGGUUCUAGGCAAGUUGUUCUUGAAAAAAUACGAGGAACUUUUUUAAUUUUUUUACAAAUUUCUAUACUUUUUUUUAUUCAUAAAAGAAAAGAUCGAAUGAAUCCGAAUAAUAUUGCGGUCUACAUAGCAGAAGUAAUCUUCACUCUUGAAUAACGAUCACUAAAUUGAUAAUAAUUUUUAUGGUGGAGAGAUUUAAUCUCGAGACAUUACACUUUUCACAUUUUUCUUUAUAAAUGUGAUAUUAAUCUCAUUUCGAGGUUUGUAAUUGUGCUGCUCAUAAAUUGUUUUAUCUAAGUAUAUGAUGAAUAUUUGAUUAUUCCAUCCAUCCUAAAAAGAUGGUCCAUCUUUUCUUGUUGGUUUGUUCCAAAAUAUAGUUCAAUUUUCUUUUUUGCAUUGUAGUUAAUCCUUGAAUUGUUUACUAUACCCUUAUUAAGUUACUUUAUUUUCAAUAACUCUUAUUAAUUAUUAAUUAUUAUUUUAAUACUCGUGUUAUUUAAGAUGGACAUAAUAGAAAAGUUAUAUAAAUAAAAUUAUGCUUUUAAUUAUAUCUGUUAAUCCGUAUAAAAAUAGAAAAUGGAUUAUUUUUUCGGGACAGAGGUAGUAUUAAUUUAAAUUGCGUUGGACCAAUGCUAGGAAUUCCAAAAUUGUGAUAUUUAUCUUCAGGUGCAUAUUUUAUUGUAGAUAACUCCACAAUAUUAUGACAUCUGUUUUAUUUUUCCUUUUUUUCUUAUUUUUUUUAUACGAAAGGUGAGGCACACACAAGCAUAAAUGCUUUUUGUGAUACACGAUUUGUAAAGAAAUAAUCCCAAGCUUUCAUCACUACAAGAUGUCACCUAUGUUACAUUAUGUAAUUGUCAUCAUCAACAAGGAAGUUAGAAUUUUAAAUUAAGAGAAAAAAUAAAUAAAUGAUAUUUUAUAUAAAAAUUUUUUUAUAAGAAUUAAUUAUUUGAAUUUUGUUAAUUAUAAACUCAAAAUAAUUAUAGAUAGUCAUUUAAUUAACAUUGUUUAUAUAUCACAUUUAAAGAUAUUAAAUAUCUUAUAAUAUGACAGUAUAAAGAUUAAGGCCUAAUGACUUAAAAAAUCUGAACUUUGGCCUUUUUAAUAAUUUUGAUUAAUUUUUUUUAAUUGCUAUAAUUGAUACCGCGAAGUAAUUUUUUCUUAACAAUUGUGGCAUCCGUCCAUCAACCGUUACUACUAUGCUGAUGUGUCCGUUGGUAGGACCCUUGCCAUGACAUGUCACUUGCUGACUGUAAAUUUGCAAGGUAUAAUUGUCAAAAAAAUUGACCAAAAUUAUUAAAAACGCCAAGUUCAGGGAUUUCUUUAGUCAUUAGACCAAAGGUUGUUAGUUUACCAAUUUUAGUCAAGAUUAUUACAUGCAUAUCAAGGUAUAGUCUAGUAGUAAGUGUAAAUACAACUUGUCAAUAAAUCCAAGUUUUUUUAUUAAAAUUAAUUUGUAAUAUUUAUAUAAUUUAUUUGUCAAUAAAUAAUUUUAUAACUUGUAAUAUUCAAAUUUAAUUUAAUAAAUUUAGUUAAAUAUUUUAUAAAUUUAAUUAUAAUAUUUUUUAUUUUAAAUGAUAUAUUAUAAUAAUUAAUGACAAACAAUGAAUAUCAUGCUAAAAAAGUUAUUUCAUUUUAAUAAAAAUUAAUUGAAAAUAAUAAUUAUGACACAAAAUAAAGGGAGAAAAAAAUUUGAAAAGGAGAUAUAACUUAAAAAUUGGAAAGGUGCUAAACUUUACAAUUAAAAUAUAAUAAGAUUGAUAAAAAUUUACAAUUAUAGAUAAAUUUCUCAAAAAAAGAUUAGUGUAAAAGUAUCUGAUGUUAUCCUUUUAAAGAAAAGGACAAAUUUGAGUAAAGGGAUAAUAUUGUUGAAGAAGUUCCUACAAAUAACAUUAUCGCUUUUGAAAUUAAAGCGGAUUUACAAUUGAUUAAUUAUAUAACAUUUAGUUUUCCCCUCUCUCACUAUAUUGAUAAUUUCACUCGAUUUUUAUAUCUCCUUUAAUAUUUAAUCAUUAUAAUAUGAGCAUUGAUAAUUUCGAAUGACUAAAAAAACUAUCACUUCUUUUUUGAAAUUGACUAAAAAAACCCUGUCUUUGAUCUUUUUAUAAUUUUGACCAAUUUUUUUAACAAUUAUACCUUGAAAAUUUAUAAUCAGUAAACGACAAUGUCACGUUAAGGGUUCCACUAACGGCUACACCAGCAUAGUAUUAACGGUUAAUGGACGGAAGCUACAAUUGUUAAGAAAAAAUUAUUUCGCGGUAUCAAUUAUAGCAAUAAAAAGAAUUUGCCAAUAUUAUUAAAAAUGCCAAAAUUCAGAUUUUUUUUUUAGUCAUUAAGCUGAAGAUUAAAAUAAAAAAUUAUUUCAAGAAUUAGAAGGUAAUUUUUUAAUGAAUAAUUUUAAUAAAAAAUUAAAUUGAAAAUUUUAAGAAAAUUGUAUAAUUUAAACUAUUUAGCCAUUCUUAAAUCAGAGAUUAAACAAAUACUUAAGGGUUACCCAAGGAAACUUGCCGUUCAAAAUUAGUCGCUCACGCAAUUACUAAAAAGACUAAUUCUUUGUCUACAUUUGAACGGGAUUAUGUGCUCCUUUAAUUUUGUAUGGGUCUUUGUUUUAUGAUCUUAAUAAUAUGAGCUGAGCUCACUAUUUCAUUAAAAAAAAAAUUGCUCAAGGAAAAAAUCAUCUAAAAGAUUUAAAUAUAUUUAAAUGUUUGAAAUUUAAAAAUUUAAAGAAUCAAAAUAAUAAUAAAAAUUUUGAUCAAUCAUAUAAAAAUUAUAAAAUUAAUAUGCUAAUUAUUAAACUCUCUAGUCUUACAAAUGGGGGAAAAAAGGAAAUAAAGAAAAUCAAUGUACAAAAUAGAAUUUAUAACAAUUAGUAAAAGACAUAAAUUUUUAAGAUCUAAAUCUCACAAUUAAAUUUGCUAUUUUAUUUCUAUUUUUCAGCCUUGCGUGCCUCUUGCUAUAAGAUUUGCAUUAAACCUCACAAAAAAUUUAAUUGUUAUUUACAAUUUUUGGUACACCAACCAAAAACUAAAGAGAUCAAAUUUAUUUUACAUCGAAAAAGAAUGGACAAAAUUUUUUUUUUUUUUUCCUAUAAUCUUUCUCUCUUUGAUGUUUAUAUUAACUUUAUUUGCUGAUUUUCUUUAUACUUCAAAAUUUAAAUGAGUUAGACAUUCAUAUCUCAUUUAGAUUCAAACUCGAGAUCUUUUGGUAGAAAUCUCCGUAAUAUUCUAUUGAGAAUUUUUGUUAAAAUUUUACUAAUUAAAAUUUAUGUAUUCAAACCUAAUUUCAUCCUAACCAUUGAACUUAAAAAUAGAUGUAUAUGAUUUAACAGCUACCAAUGUUGGCAAAUUUGACAGUUCCAGGAGCGUUUUUUUGGCCGGAAUUAUUAUAGUUAUUGCCAGUAUUUUUGUGGCUGGCGGUGUUGUAAUAGGCAAAAGGACAGCCAUAAUCCGGAUAGUAAUAAGACCGUGGAGGAGGAGGAGGAGGAGGAUAGUAAUUUCCAUAUAUUGGAACAGAAGAGGAAGCAGCAGCAGGAUGGGGAGGAGGAUGGUAGUUUUGAUUUGAGUGGGUACGAGGAGGAUGCCCAUAAUUUCCACAAGGAGGAGCAGCUUCUUCUUGUUCUCGUUUGCGUUGGGAACUUGUCAUACAGCCCAUGUUUGUUUUGCUAUGAAGAAGUUGUAAUGAGAAACUGCUAACCAGUAUCUCCUUAUAUGGAUGUAAAAAGAAAGGAAUAUAUUAUCUGCUUUAAAACAAAGCUACUAUUUUUCUCUCUGUUUGAAAUUUUCCAACUCACCUUUUUUUUCAAUCUUUUAACUCACCAAAUUAUUAAUUAUUAAAAUUCGAGACUUUCCACUUCCACUUCCACACCAGUGAAAACACCAACCAUAUUAUUAACUCAUCUUUGAUUAAACCAAAUAAGUUAAAAAUUUACCCAUGAAAAUUUUAAAUGAAUUUAUAUUUAUAUAUUUCUCUUGGUAAAAAAGCAAAAAAGAAAAAGAAAAAGAAAAAGAAAGAAAGAAACAUCGAGUGCAGAAUAGAAAAUCAGUAUUCAUUCUUUUUCUGCAUUUCAGAUUCCAUUUUUCCUUUCAUACAUGAAAAGAACAAACCAAGAGAAAGGACUUCAUUGUUACAAGUGAAAUGAAAUCUGAAGUUACAAUUCCAUGUCCUGGGGCAGAUUUUCUACACUCAUAUCCUCUAAGAAAAGUUACUGGUUUGGCAAUAUUAUGUCUACUAAUCAUUCUACCAUUACAUCUUCUGGAGCUUCAGCGACCGGCUUAGAUUUCCCUUUUUUCUUACCUGUGUAUGGAUAGACAUGCUAGCAUCAGUAGAGGCAUAAGGAAAAGAAAAAGACAAGUGCAAAAUUGAAAAUGACUUGGUAGGAUGCAGCCUGACACAAAAAUGGAAAAUUUACCAUUACUCUUCAACUGUUUGAGUUUCAAACCCUUCUUCACGUUAAAUCUGGCUGGUGUUUUGUUGGCAUUCUCGGAUAUACCUUCACCUAAUAAAUUAAGUUGCACAAGCGUUUCAUCAAGAUGCUAGCAACAGAGGUAGACCAUAGAUUCAACCGAAAGCCAUUAGAUUGUGGUGAUUGCUUAACAGUUUUUUUACACCGCAAACUUGAUUCAUAGCAUACAACCCAACUCCAGUCUCAAGAAUUUGUUAUUAAAGCACAAGGGAGCUCCACAAAGCAUGAAAAUACUAUACAACCAAAAUUGAAGAGCAUAAAUUUUUCAACCCAUGAUAUGCAUACUCUCUACCCAAAAGAACUGUAUUUAGCUGUUCAUUUUGACUUGUAUGAGUAUGAAAAACCUCUCUACUCCAAAAGCACACAAUUCUCCACCUCCCCCACAAAUAGAUUUAAAAUAUGAAAACAAAAGCAUAAUGUUACUUCCUGCACCAACAAGCACAAUUUUUGCUCCAAUUUUCCACCAUAGCCUAAAUUUAGAAGAGGAAACCAAACUAAACCACCUUUGGUACUAAACCUCUAAAACAAGAAAAUGCAUUGCUCUCAAAAGGAAAAAAUGAGCCAGCAGCUCAAUAUACUGGUUAUCAAACAAUUCAAACUGUAGGAAAUCCGAACCUUAAAAUAUGCCUAUUAUUAAAUAUCCACACUUAAUAUGGUAUACUAAAGGCAACAGCAAAGGAAUACCCUCUCUACUAUCACAUACCAAUAUCAAGCAAACUAAUCUGCAAUUAUAAUUAGAACAUUUACUAGAAGUACACUCUCUAAUCUAGUCCUUCUUCAUAGAAAUUAUUAAAUUCAUUAACCAGAUUGAAAUUGCAUCAAAAGAAUAGAAAAACCUUCAGCAGCAGCCAUCUCCACAUCUUCCAUGGUGACCAGACCUUUCUCUAUAGCCUCCUUCUGAUCCUGUACAAAAUUAGCCACGAAUAAAUCAUUAAACGGCGCUCUGUAUUUUUAUUAUCUCCAUAGCUAGCAUAGAGACGAAACUUGUUAAAUUGGGUAUUUACAGAUGAGAUGUGAAGAGGGACAUACUCUACGCCAUUUCUUCAAUAGCUUGCGCUUGCGCUUUCCAGAGAGAGAGAGGGGCUGAGGUUUGUUCUUGAGCUUCCCUGUAACUGGGUCUCCGUGUAUUGCUCUCUUUCUAUAUGCUACUUGUUCUCUUCUCCUUUUUUGCACCACAUUGAAUUUCGCCAUCUCUAUCCUUCUUUCUCUCUACCUAAACCCUAAUUCUUGCAAUUGUCUUUAUACAUUUCCAGAUUACAACUUUGGGCUUGCAUUUGUGGGCCUCGUCUGGGAAGGACCCAUUAUUCACUUGCCUUUUAAUGGACUGGUUUUUUAGCAAUAACAAUUGGGCUUGUUUAGCAUAUCAUACAUAAACUAUUUUAGUAGUUCGCAGCUCUUUUAUUAAUUUUUCAUAAAACUCUAAAAGUUAAACGUGCUUUUAAAAAUUAAUUCAAAUAUUAUAUUACCGGACAUAUAAAAAUAACGCUUAGUAUUAGCUAUUUAAAAAGAUGUUACCGAACACGAUCACGAGAAAGUAAUUAAAAAUGUAGGUUUAAUAUAAUAAUAGGACUUGCAAAAUUGCAAAAUGAAAUUGUUGCCAAGCUGCAAAUGGCGAAAAGAAAAGACGGUUAGACAAAAACAUUGAAAUUAUUGCAACCAACUUAUUAGUAGAAUUAAGAAAAUAAAAAAACAUUUAAUCCUACAUCUUACAAGAUGAGAUAAGCUAAAUAAACAACAGAAACAUAAAUUUGAAAAUAUAUACAUAAGAGUAAAUAGGCAAAAAUAAAGAUCAUAUCAAAUGCUUUUUUGUUGCACAGCCUACAGUACAAUUAGUAUGCUUCUUCUGCCUGAGGAUCUAUAUGCAAUGCGAUGGUCGGAACAGAACGACUCGGGUUUCAUCUCUAUUUACUCUUCCUGUAAUGUUGUCUAUAACUAACUACAAGCAUUUGGCCUCAAUUUCCUCGAGAGUGAGUCCCUUUGUCUCCGGCACAAUGAAGAAUAUGAAAAGAAGAGACAGAAUUCCGAUUACUCCAAAUGCAUAGAAUAAUAUUCCAGCGCCCAACCAUGCCUGCAGCCAAAUCGAAAAAUUCCGUUUCUAGUAUCAGUAUUCAUAGAAAUUUGAUAUAGAAAAUUCAUUUCAAUGAACUAAUGUGAUUUUCAUGAUGAAUAAAACUGCAAUAAAAGAAACAGAAAUAUCAAUAUUCUUCUUCCAAAUGAUUAGAAGCAGAGAGGAAAUGAAGAAACUCAAACAUUAAGCAACUCCAUUUGCAGAAAAUAUGACAGGAAGAGUAGACAAAUAAGAGCAUCAUGACAGAACUGUCCGAUAUGCUCGACUACGUAAUUCUUGAGUUCCUUGAAAAAGAAAAAACAGUACUUCAAUGAUCAAGAACCCGUAAAACAGAAAACCUUGUAUUAGUUUUUCUUUUUAUUUCAGUAAACACCAACAGUUUCACUCAUUAUAAACCUUUUCCAAACUGCAGAAGCUUUAAUGGGCUGAAACAAGACAAGAUUCAGGAGAGCAGGCAAUAUACAUUGAACCUGCACCCUAAACUUCAAACAUAAGUUGGAUACAAAGACUCAUGGUUCAGAAGAAAGUUCAAACAAAUAAGCCUUCAAACAAUUUGAAAACUGAAGAUGCGCCAAAUCCUCAGAAACCCCUAUUCAAAACAAAUAUACUCUGUUUAUCAUCAACUCAAACUUGCAGAAAUUGAAAUCCAUUUAUCAUCAACUCAUGCUUGCAGAGUUCUGUCCUAGCUAAUUUAAGUAAAAUAUGAAACCUUCACCAGUCCUAUUUAGUUAGCUAAUGAAAACCAUUAACUGGCCAAACCAGCUAAAUCUUUUAGAUACUUGGUCAUAAUCACAUUCUUAAUGGCAAUGCCAAUAACCAAACUAAAAAAUAUCUGACAAAUGGUUGCCAUGUUAUAGUCCAGAACAAGCAUGAAAACUAUAACUCCUACCUUCCCAAAUGGCUAGUACUUCCAGUAAUUCAAGCAUUUUUUUUAAGCAUGCAUCCUCAAUAUUAUCCUUAUUUAAGGAUCACAUUUAUUCCUACCAUGGAAUGUGGUAGAAUUUCUAAUUAAAGCUAGGACUGUCAUGACUUAACGAUAAUGAAAUUCAAGCAUUCGAAUAACUUAAAGAAAGUGAGAGAGUGGUAGUUUUUGUCUAUUAUUUUCAUUACUGUCUUACUGAGGAUGACAUGUAUAUAAGCAUGAAUUUACUGGAUAUAUAAAUAGGCUAUCUAAUUACCUUCAAUGGGGAAAAUGCAAAUGUGACGAGUGCAUUUGCACCAAAAUUCACAAGCACUGCUAUACUAAGUCCUCUCCCUCUUAGGCGUAGGGGGAAAACUUCUGAAAUCAUCAACCAACCAAUAGGACCAAAUGAUAACUGCAAAAUUGAUUUCAUUAGCAUACCAUCACAGAUUGCAAAAACAGAAGCUAUAGAAACAAGUUCUGUAACCGAUGAGAGAAAAAAAUGCGUAAAUUUUUUAAUUGAACAAAAAAGUAAAUCAUCUCAUACACUAAUUAUAGAAAUAAUCAAUGCAAUGAAUCAUCAGACGGUAUAAAUUCUACCCAUUCUUUUGCCAUCCACAGAAAAUUGAUUUUCCCACAAAGAAGUUCUCGAAAAACAAAAUAGGCUUCUUAUCCAUCAAGUAUUCUAGGAAAGACAAACUUAUGUGAACAUAAAUGCUUUGAUGGAGUAAAAAGACGUAACAAUGCACAAGAAAGAGAGACAAAUUAGUUGUCCUCUCUUUAUCUCACCCACCUCCUCUAUUCAGAGUCUGUCCAGACAGUAAUUGGCAUACAUUAAUAUCCCAUUAAUAGCUAGUACCUCUAUGUGGUAUUGUGGUUUUGUUAUUACAGGUUUAGGUAUCAGAGAAUCACCAAAUGCAUUAGAAGAUGCCUAACACAUUUCCCAACUGUUGUGUAAAUUUUAGGAAAUAUAAUUCCAAUAAAAAAGACUUAACAUGAUAUGAUACGAAUGGUGAAGGUAUCUUCAGCCUGCUUUCUUGCAGAAUUCUAACAGCAAUAAAGAAAUUGACUAAGCAGAAACUUCAAAGAGAUUUGAAUUUGAUUUAAAAAGUUAGAUAUUGAUGAGCUACAAGCUUACUGAUAUCAAUGAUUUGUCAAUAAGUUCCCAGGACCUGCUUAAGAAAGGCUGAUCACUAGAAUUCUGUAUGAUUAUGCAGUAAGCCCUUCCCAUACUGGGAAUUUCAUUAGCUGUCAUAUAUACCUAUAUAUGCUAAACAGUGUCCUGCACACAAGUAACCUUAAAUCUAAUCCUAAUCCUGACUGAAGGACACAAGUACACAUUGAACCACAAAAUUCAGGGAUGAGAAUUUAGUUGAGAAAUGACAUGAAAAUCUUUGAUUACCUGAUAACAUCCAACAUACAACAGCAGUGCAGCAACAGCCACAAAAGGAGCAUUAUCCAGGAAAAGAUAAUAUGACCCCAGAAGGAAUAAAGAGAUGACCUGUUCCCAAAAUAAAGCAUAGUUCUUAGGAAUUCCUCGUGACUCACUUUAGUUCAUAAAUUAGAUGCCUAUCCUUUCUUCACUCUUCUUCAUUCAGAAAAAUAAAGCUAAAGUCAAGCAAACUAUAA
rnacentral:lncRNA from 1 species